CCACUAUCCAGUCGUUAUUAACGCCUCCCUUAGAAACAAGUAAGGCACUACUGUUGUUACCUUGAUUACCAGGAGGGGCAGUCAUGAGUUCAUUUGAAUUCACCAGUGGAGCAAGUGAAAGCUCCGGUUCUUUAGUCACAGGUUGUUCCUCCUUAACCGUGGAUGUUCCUCCUGUGAAUGCACAUUCUGCAUUAACCAUGGCUGCUCUUCCAGUUCCACCAGCAGACUCUUUGGACUUUCGUGCCUUAAGUUCUGUCCACCAUUCUGGAUAACCAUGCAACUUAAAACAUGUUUCACGGGUAUGUUUCAUGUUCCCACAGUAAGAGCAUCCGUUACUUCCUCCUUCUGUUUGUCCUCUAGCCUUAAAAAAAUUCAAUUUUCCCCCAUGUGAUGAAGAAUUCCCCGGUUUGGCCACCUGAAGUGUAAACUGAUUCUGUGAAUUGUUUCUCAUUCCUCUAGAGAUCAUAGCAGCGGCUGGAAUGGUUCCAUUAUUUGACAGCAUGACUGUCUGCCUGAUAUCUUCCCUUCUAACAUAUGCAUACGCCUGUUCCACAGAUGGGAAUGGUUUAAGUUGAAGAACGUCGCUUCUGAUCUUGUCAAGCCUGUCAUCUAAUCCAUCAAGGAAAGUAUACACUUUAUCCUCUUGCAAGAGAGUGUUAUAUUUUUGUAUGUCAUGAACACAUACCAUCGGGUUCGGGCGGCGAAAAUCAAUCUCCCUCCAGACGCCUUGGAGACAGUUGUAAUAUGUCUCAAUUGGUUCCCCGAUUGCUUCAUUCUAGUCACCCGUCUCUUCAAAUCAUACACUUGGGAUGCAUCAGUUCCAUCGAAAUAGGUUGUAGCAAUUGAAUCCCAUACCUGUUUUGCCGUGGGAAAUCGAAUGAAGUUGUUGACUAAUGAUGGAUUCAUUGAGCCAAUUAACCAUCCCUUCACGACAGAGUUCUCUGCCCUCCAUCUCCUGAAUGAAGGAGCAGCUGGUUCUGGUUGUGGAAAGUCACCAUUUAUAUAUCCUAGCUUGUCUUUUCCUGAGAUAAACAUCUCGACAAUCUGGGACCACAACGCAUAAUUGGUACCAUCCAAUUUGAUACCAAUCUGUGUUGCUGUAAUAUCCUGCAUUACUGCUGGAGUCUGAUUCUGGUUUAUGGCUUGAUUCACUCUUACCAUAAGGUCUUCAAAGUUUUCAGUCGUAUUAGGUUGUUCUGAUUCCACCAAGCCGGUUGGUGUUGCCAUCGCCUCCAUUAUUAGAUGUUGCUAGCAGAGAUCAGACAAAGGAUCUCGGCUCUGAUACCAUGUAAACCUGACGAGAUUUCAUUCAAGAAUUCUUUCUUAAUUGUAUUUCUGAUACUGUCACAAUACUUAUACAAUUCUGCCUCUACUAGCUGUCUUUGGAAAGAAAUCAAAUACUAUCCCAUAACAAUCGAGAUUUACAUAAAUAAAAGAUAUACUAGAAUAUUACAUGUAUAGUUUCCUAUUGUGUGUAGGUUUGUACAGCUCAUGCCAACAUUUAUUUGAUAAAAAUCAAGCACAAAGUAAUUUAAAUUUGUAUAAGUUUCAAGUUCAAAAAACUUUUACAAAAAGUGUCAUUAAGGCUCAAGGUAAGAGGGUUGUUUCACCUUCUUCAUUAAACAAGUUCCUCAAAGGAUCUGUGGCAAUGGAGGGGUAGAGAAGUAGCACAGCAAGAAGAGCACGGUAUAAGUCGUUUUUCAUUGUUUGCCUCAGAUUGGAAUGCCCUUGAAGCUCCAUCAUUUCUUUGAGGUUCUCUUAUGAGCUUGACUUACGAGGGUCUGAUUAGUGGGUGUGGUGGGGAUAUUCAAGCAGACAUUCUUUACUAAUGGGCUCCACUCAAGAGUAUGCCACAAUGAGUGGAGGAAAAAGAUGGUUGAAUAAUACAGCACAUAUUUCACCUUCAAAGUCUAUAUAUCCACUGUUUCUUUACCUAUUUCAAAAACAUUUUUAAAAUUUUAAAAUUAUUUUAUUUUUUUAUUAAUUUUAAAUUAAUAUAUUUUUAAUAUUUUCAAAUUAUUUUGAUGUACUAAUAUUAAAAAUAAUUUUUAAAAAAUAAAAAAUAUUAUUAACAUUUAUUUUAAUAUAAAAAAUUAUUUAAAAAACAAUUAUAACCAUUAAAUAAACCGUCCUAGUAUAAUUGGACCCAGUGGCCUCUCGUUUAUUUAUUCUAGCAUUAAAAUAUAUCUGCCCUUGGCCUGCUGUCACCCACCACAUAUAUAAAUUUCUCGUAGGAUUUGAUUGCAAAUUUGCAAUACAACUAUCUGCUGUUAAGGAUCAUUAUAGGAACCCAGGCAAGCAAAUUUAUGUAAUGGCUGCGAUCUUCUAGCGAAUUGCACUAAUUAAUGUGAUGAGCUUGAAUCAAUUGGUGCCUUCUGGUUGUUUUAAAAAUUUUAUUUUUUUAUAUUUUUGAAUUGUUUUAAUGUAUUAAUAUUAAAAAUAAUUUUUUAAAAAAUAUUAUUUUAUUAUAUUUUUAAAUAAAAAAUAUUUUAAAAAACAUAUGAUGAUGGUCUAAAUAGGCCUAGAAAAGUGAUCUUUUAAUAAUUGUCUAAAUAGGGUUAUAGAUAUGUUUUUAUUAAAACAUGGGGGAUUGAUUAUUUACUAAUCAUCUCAUUUCUUAGCUUCUCUUGCCUUCGUGACGUUAAAAACCUGAUUACAUUAACCGGAUCAAUACUUUAAAAAAAAAAAUUAAAAUCCUACCCAAAUUAGGUUUGGAAUUGCAGAUUCUCCGAAUCAAUAUGCCCGGUCGAACCAGCUUUUACAACUAUAGAUCACACACGCUUAUUAUUUUGAUAAUUAAUGGUUAUUUAACCUGUAUUUUUUCUGCUAGUCAAAUGAUUUCUUUCUAGCAAAAACAAUAUGCAGGUUUUUUUAAUAUUUUUUUUACAAAAAAAAUCCUAAUAAUAAAUCAAAAAGAUUUAUACAUACAUUUAAUUAAAUAAAUUAAAAAUCAUAUAUGUCAAAAAUAAAAAUAAAAAAUGUUAAAAUAUUUAUUCAACUAGUCUCACUACGGGUUAGAUAGUUUUUUUCUAAAGCUAAAGAAUGAAUGUAUAUGAAUUGUUAACAUAUUUUUUAAUAUUAAAUAAAAAUAUAAUUGUGAGUUAAGACAAUAUUUGCAUAUAAUAAAAUAAAACGAGGAUCAUAUAUAUUAAUAAAGAUGUAUAGAAAAUUAAUUUUUAACACAAUAUAAAAAUAAGAUAAAGUUGUAGAUACAUUUAAUUGUAUCAUGAUUCUUUAAAUCUAGAAAUUUAAAGAUGUUGUUCACACAUAUAUGAACGGAGAAGAAAAGGUUGCAAAUAGCAAUACAAUUCUAAAAUAAAAGGAUAAUCUCAUAAAAAUAAAAGAUAUAUAAAUAUGAUAUUUAACUCAAAUUCUUUCCUUUGAUGCACAUAAUUUUUUUUUUAUCUUAAAGGUCAUUGUUUCUUAUUAAAAAUAAAUUAUUUGUAUUUUUAAGAAUAGUUUUUAUUUAUAUAAAACAUAAAAAAAAAAAUGAAUUAGAAUAAUCUCUUCAAAAUAUUAAAUACUUACAAAAUAAUUAAAAAACAAUCGCUAUUUAAAAAAAAUCUAAAAAAUCUAAGAGAAUGAAUAUUAAUUUAGAAAUAAAUUAAAGAAAUUAUUUUUAAAAAAUACAUAUUAAAAAAAUAUCAAUUAAAAAAUUAAAAUUAAAAAAAUCAAGUACUACUAGUUCUCGCAAGUUAGGACUGCAUGGUUUGUCCAUUUUGUUAAAAAAAGCAAAUGACAUAUCAAAUGUCCUAUUAACAAAAAAAAAAAUUACAAAAAAAAUAAUAAUAAAUAAAAUAAGUGUAAAGUGAUAAAUAUACAAAAUAAAAAAAAAAUCAAAACAAGUUUUUUAUUAAAAAAAUGCAUAUGAAAAAUUACCAACCUAGUUCUCGUAAUAAUAAAAUAAAAUAAAAUAAAAAUAUAAUUUUAUCAUCGUUACAGUAAAAAAUUUACAAAUUACUAUUUGUACUGUGUUUUUUCAUUUCUUUAUAGUAUAUUGUAUAAUAAUGAAUGGAACAUCAGAUUCUAGAUAUUCCUCGUUAUUUUGACAUUUUUCAUUAUUAAAAAGAAAUAUAUAAGAGUACUUUUUCACUAGGAAAAAAUUGAAAAGAUAUUUUUAUGAGCCUUUAAUUCUCCGACCACAAACUGGAAAGCAAUACUAAAAGCCCCAACUUCACUAGUCAAAGCCACCGCCAAAAUCCAUCACAAAACAGCUCCGCCAAUUACGCAGCCAGUCUGCACCUGUCUCAGUGCAAAUGCCAGUUGCCCCUUUCACACAUCCCAAAACGUAAGAAAAUCCCAUCACUAACUAUAAUAAUCCACGCGUAAACCAAAGCAACUCCUUCUUGCUGCAACAAUGGGUCGAGAACAAGAAGAAGGGGAAGGGGGUGAAGAGUACUUGUUCAAGAUAGUGGUCAUAGGAGACUCUGCUGUUGGGAAAUCCAACUUGUUGUCAAGAUUUGCUAGAAAUGAGUUUGAUAGCAAUUCAAAGGCUACAAUCGGGGUAGAGUUCCAGACCCAAGUGGUGGAUAUUGAUGGCAAAGAAAUCAAGGCACAGAUCUGGGACACUGCUGGUCAAGAGAGGUUUAGAGCUGUCACCUCUGCUUACUAUAGAGGUGCUGUUGGUGCUCUCAUUGUUUAUGAUAUCACCAGGAGGACGAGCUUUGAUAGUGUUAAGAGGUGGCUUGAUGAACUUGGCAGUAAGUUUCUUGUUCUUGUUCGUUCUGUCUUCUUUCUGUUUGGUUGCUGAGAGAAUCGAAAUGUUAAUUGGUUGUGGGCCUGUGGCUUUGAUGGGCUCAAUAGUUUAGGUAUGUAAACUAUAAUAUUGUUUUAUUUGAAUGUUAGGAAUAGCUUAAAAAUGGAGCCUUGUUAACUAGUAGAUGAGUGGUGAGCAGAAAUCGACUUUACUCUGCCUUCCCGUAUGCUAAUGUUGCAGUAGACCAGUAGCAUCUUAAAAACAGAAAAUGCAGGGUUUUGAAGUGUCUUAGUGAUUGUUUUCUCAAGUCUAAUACUUCAUUCAUACAUUCGAGUCUAAACCGAUAGCACAAAUAUAUGUGGCUUGUGAAAGCAAAGCGUAGAAAAAGCUGAGUUAUAGCAACAUUUGUACUACAUUAUGAUGAUCCCUAUGAUGAUCAUAGAGGAUUGAUAUAGCAUUUAGAUUUAUUAGCAUCUUAAAUCCAGUUUCCUCUCUUCAGGACCCCCAACGGUGUAACAUUCUAGGCAUUUUUAGUUUAAAAUGAACAUUCUUGGUACCUUGACAUCAUAACUUGAACAGUGAUUGGCGAAAACGAGAGUCGAACACUACUUUCUGCUAACUCAACAGCCAUUAUCAACUUAGAGUGACCUUUCACGGAUAUGUAUGGUGCAAACAUGUUACGAGGUCUUAAAGAGUGUAGUUGUUGAUUUUCAGUACUGUGGAGUGCUUUACUCAUCUGUUGUGCUGCGAGCCUUGAUACCUAUAUACCUUUAUUUUGCUGGACCUGGCACCAAAGGACAUACCGAAAGAGUACUUGUUGAGAUCAAGGUUUAAUUGAGUUGAGUUGUGCACUGUUUACAUAAUUAUCACCUCCCAUCCUCCUUAGAGUCAAUAGACGGUUCUUUAUCCUUUGGAUCUGGGAAUUGGAGAAGAGUGAAAUUUCAGUUGUCUGAUAACAGUUUGAUUUGAUAAAUGUAGACUCUAAUGAUACUAAUUGGUAAAAGAUUUUGUUCAAAUCCUUUACUGAAAAACAGCGACAGUUUGGAACUAAAGAGCAUUUGAUAUUUGAAAUAUGUGAAAUUCUAGCUUCUGUUAUCCCCUCAAGAAAAGAAAAACUCUUAGCCUAACAGGUGUUUUUCCAUCCCUUCAAAUUAUCCUUUCAGAAUUGUCAAAAACUUGACAUUUUUUUGCAUAAUUUGCAGCUCAUUGCGACACUGCGAUCGCCAGAAUGCUUGUAGGGAACAAGUGUGAUCUUGACAGUAUAAGAGAAGUGAGUAGAGACGAGGGCAAGAGCCUUGCGGAGGAAGAAAGUCUAUUCUUCAUGGAAACAUCUGCCCUGGAUUCGACUAAUGUUGAAGCUGCUUUCGAGGUUGUUAUCCGUGAAAUCUACAAUAAUAUGAGCAGGAAAAUCUUAAACUCUGAUUCAUACAAGACUGAGCUGACAGCCAAUCGAGUGAGCCUGGUGAAUGGGGACAACUCGUCCAAGAAGUAUGGCUUCUCUUGCUGCAAUACAUAGUCUUCUUUUCUUUCUGGAGUGUAAUUCGAGUCCGGUGUUUGAAUUCUUUUUGUCAGAUCGGCGCUGCAUUUUACUUCCUAUUAUCCUUGGCAACAAGUAUAAAAAUCAUUUAAGCUUUUUUUCGAACUAGUAGUUGUCACUGCGUAUGUUGUAUGAUGUGACUUGUUUUUUGAGAAUUCAAAACGCUGAUGAUGCUUGUCUGCAUGGUGACCAAGGAAAAACAGAUACAGAGACCGAAUAUAUAUUUUGAUUUAUAGGUAUUUAAAAGCAUGGUAGUAUUUGUUUUUAUUUUUUAUUAGCCUGUUAAAAUAAUUUUAAAAUAUCAAAAAAAUAAUUAAUUUAAAGUAAAUAAAAAAAAUAAAAAUUAAUAUUUUUUUUGAAAAAUAAACUUACAAUAAAUAUUAAAAAUCAGACGUUCCAAUUUCCCUUUCCAACGUUCCUAAUACCUUACUCUACAAAUGAUAUCAUGUCUUGAAAUGAGAACAGUGAAGUGAAAUAUGCUUGCCCCAUCUGGCCACACAAACCAAGGUUGUCAUUAAUUUUUAAUGAAUUGUUAAUUUUUAUGCAUAAAGUUGACGUACUACACUAUUAUAGAAUUAAUUAAAUUAUUUAUAUAUCAUUAUUCGAAAUCACAAAGGGAAUCACAUGCAAUACGUAUCAAAAUAGCUAGUUUCCACUAAAUAGUUCGAUUGGCAUUUUUGUUAUCUGCACCCCAUGACUUGGAAUCCAGGCAAAUACCAAUACAAAUGGCAGUGUAUACAGCUUCAUGUACGUAUAUUAUAAUAAUAAUUUAUUUCCCAUAACAAAAACUAAAAUUGUGUUGAGGGCAAGAUCCCGAAAAAAAUUAAAGGUAAGAAGAAGGGCUCUAAGGAUGGAUUUACAUGACUAGAAUAAACAAAUGGCCGAAUACUGAUAUCUUCGGAACUAAGAUAAAUACCAUUUACACUAAGCUAUAAUGGAAAGGUACAUGUUUUCACCACAUAUAAUGGGAAAGUAUAAAAGAAAUUAGGGCUUCCUCAAAGCAGAUGCUGCACCCAUGACAACAGCCAGUACAAUGCCAAGACCGGCCCCCAGGGAGGCGCCGACAGCCGCAGCGGUUAAAGAAGAUGCCUUGGCUUUAGAGUUUCGACUGGCAUCUAUUGCCAGUGCAUGUUCUCGUGCCAGCUCUGCCAAAAGCCUAUCUCUAGCAAAUUCCUUGAGAAUCAAAACCAACAAGACAUUCAGAAUUUGGCCAAAGCAUGUCAAGGAGAUCGAUACAAAUAUCACAAAAGAGUAGGAAGGGCAGCAUGCACAUGGUUUCCUGCUUGAUGUGGAAAGAAAUCCAGUCAACAUUAUUAACUUUAGCUGAGUAAGUAAAUAGGUCAUCUGAUCAAUGAGAUCCAAUAAUCACAUGGAAAUUGGAUGUCCCAAUUGUACCGGAACAUGUGGCAGACAGUGGAAUGCAACUGUAGUUCCUAUGUUUUGUUCUUUUCAAGCCAAACCGAUUGCUUGAUUAUCAAUACCUUCUUUAAGUACUUUAUUCCCAAUGGAUUUUCAAUAUGAGAAAAGAACAGAGCUUUUUUAAUUGGAUUAAGUGUCUAUACCUGUAAAGAGGCCUCUUCAUGGCUCUGCAGCACCCGGUGGACAAGUUGACAAAGUGAGUUCACACCCUCAACAGCAAAAAUGGUGUCUCGUUUCUGAAAUGGCCACCGGACAAGAUUAAUUGGAUCAAAACUAAGCUUUUGAGCACCUGUUUUCCCAUAAGAAUCUCCAUUACUUGCAGUCAAUGACAAUGAGGCACUUGCUGCACUGGACAUGACAUAGGGACAGGAAUUGACAACUUCUGCAGUAUUUGGAGAUGCUUGGUACGCCUGCAAAACAGCAUCAAUCGCUGCCUUCUGUUGGUGAGCACUCACAGAGAAUUUGUUUGUUACAGCAAUAACCCAAGGAAUUCCAAGAACUUUAGCCUCGUCUAAUAGAAGUGAAAGGACUGGCUGUUGCUGUGAGGCAUUCAGUUUACUGCAACGAGGAAUCUUAUGGGAGAGGUUGUGCACAAGAAUUAUCAAAUCUGUCUUCCUACCAAGGUCACGAAUUCCCAUCCACAGUUCAUCCCUGAAAUGAGAGACUUCCAUAUGCAGCUCCUGCAAUAAACAAACCAAACAAAAGGUCAAAGGUGUAGGAAAUGUCAAUGAGAAAAGGGCUCACCAAAGCAGGCAGAAUUUGGACACACUCCAAUGCUUUAGCAUUUUUGCUCAAAACUACGAAAACUCAAACAUCACCAUUGUUUGUCCUAAACAAUGGCUUGUGGAAAGAAUAGAAAAAAUAAAAAACAUAAUUCAGAAAAACUAAAAGAAGGCAAGUUCUCCCCACAAACUCACUGUCAGAACUUGGAACAAAAACCAUAAAGGUUGGAUUAAAGGAAAAUGGCAAAAAACAAUAGGCUCUUACUGAUGCAGGAGUUUUAUUCAGGUUAUUUUAAUCUUUUAAUAAUCUUGUUAAGCCUUGUAUCUGCUCAUCUAUUGCUGUUCUCCCAACUAAUCUAUGCCACUUACCCUUCUGGAAAGAAGAAAGACAUUCUACUAAAUGCUGUACAACUAAAUUUGACAAGAAAAAAAAAGGGAGAGCUAGAAAGAUUUAUAUCUACAUGCAUGCCAACAUUGCAAAUAGAGUUCCAACAGAGAUGCAGUGUGAAACAUACCUGCAAAUUUACUCCAGCUGAAUCUGAGUAGCAUACACCACCAGCAACACCUUCUUGAAAAUCAGCCUCUAAAUUAAUAUUCUCAAAAUUGGUAAUGGUGGUUAGUCUGCCUUGACCCAUAAUAGCCUUAAAAAGAGAAGUUUUACCCGCACCCUACACAACAGAACUCAUCAUUGCAUGCAUUGAGUAGAAAACUAACCAAACAAAAUUUGUAUAAUCAGAGUUACUAUGUUGAAUAUUCUCACCUCAAGACCAAGUAAGCGCACUCUACGUGUUCUGACAUGGACGUCCUUUGAGACAGUUGCAAAAUCACUUGUACAAAAAAUACAAAAAUCACUCAAACCAUCUGGUCGGAGGAACUUCUCAUCAUUUCCUGAACUGUUUUCUUUAAUGAGAUUCGCAGCAUCUGAAUCAAUAGAAGGAAAAACAGGCAUAAAAGAAUCUGUUACUAUUGGAUGCUUUGGUGGUCGUCUCAGUGGUGCCCCAACUAAGACCCUUAUCUUUUGUAAUUCUGGCUGUGAUCCAUUAUUUGAAUAGUAGCUGGGUGCUGAAGGAAAUGACUCCACUGUAGUUGAACACCUGGACGCAAAAAGCAUAUGCAUUAGCAUAAAUUAAGUAAACUUGGCUUUCAUUCAUCACUUCUUGAGAUAUUUUUUUUUUUAAUUGACCAGUAAACUUAAGAUGUUGAUGGCUCUAAGUAAAUUCUAAAUGCAGCACAAACAAAUAUCUGGGCAGGUUGUGAAGAAUUUAACCGACAACAUUGACGUUCACAUGUAGUAAAAUAUAUCCAUGGAGGCACACAAUACUUGACAAGCAUUGAAAAUUCAAUAAAGGAGUAAAAAAUGGAGAGUAAUGAAGCAGCAUCAUUGCCCAGGUGGAAAAGAAGCAAGCCAGGUUCAAAACAAACUGAAAUUACAAGGCAUGAUGAUUAGACUUGGCAACUGGGUCUGGUUGUCUAAGGUUCGGAGGUAUUAAGUGCUCAAGUCUGAGCGUCUUGAUCCUAACCCUAACCCAUCAGGUUUGGGCAAGUUCGGGUCAUCCCACAGGUUUGAGAGCAUUUUUUUCUUGCAGAUGAAAAGAUUUGACUAUUAUUACAAACUAAAAUCUACAUGCAUGUAUAUGAAAUUAUGAAUUGUGCACAUCUCAUACAAUUAUGAUAGUUACCAAAACAUAUAUAUUCAUAUUAGCAAUAAAUUAAAAGUCAAUUUAAUGGAGUAACUUUUUGUCCAAUUAUUUCUGCAUCACUUCUUGGUUUUCAAGAAAAUAACAAUGAUUGAAAAUCGAAGAAUUUGUUUUGUUUUAAAGAUAUAAUACUUUCUCAUAUGGCGCAAACACAUUACAUAUGCAUUUUUUUUCUAUGAAAAUUAUCUCGUAAGAAAAGAAAAGAUGAGAGUUUGGCAACAUAUUCAAAUUUUUUCUUGAUAAGCUAAACAAAUUUGUCAAACCACAAAUGCCAUCUUUAUAUAUGUGUGUGCUUGUGUGUGUAAGUUAGACAACAAUUGUGUUAUGAAAACCACCAACCCUUAGGCAAACCACCAACAAUACAAAGAAGAACAUCUAGAUAUACAAGGAAAGACAACCGAGGAGAGUACAAAUCUUAAUGGAGGGUAGAAAAGGAAAAAAAAUGGAUUGCUUUUAUUUUUUAGUUAACCAAAUGGAAGAAAAAGUUUAAAAGUUUUGAAGUGGCAUUGUUUAUCUAUUACUUUAGCAGACUUGGUGUCUGGCAAACUUAAAGUUUACUAUAAUGCUUGCCCCUAGGAUUACCCACAGGUCGUGUAGCCCAACCCAAAAAUUUCAAGUUAUUUCAGGUUCAGUCUACCCAAAAUAAGCAAAAGCUGACUUUAUGUGCUGAAGGCAUGCACAGAGAAAAUAAAUGAGGUACAUGCAUACCAGAUAGGAUUCCAGAUGAAAGGAAUCAUGAUAUGAUAAGAUGCCAAAUGAAUAGAAUGACAUCAUUUAUCAAAUGAAAAAAACAUAUGCAAGCAUUAUGUGAUUAGGUUGUAUAGAUGUACUGAAAACUUGAAGUUCUAAACACUGUUUAGCCCCAUGUUGGAUGCUCAAGAUAACCUCUUGAAAAUUCUAUAUUACAUGAAAAAAAAAAUAGGGGGCAGACAAGGACAAUACCAGUUACCAUUUACUUGAGCAUGAACCAGAUUACAAAGGUGCAAUCUAAAACCCGUGAUAUCAACUUUUAAGGGCUCUCCAUUCUUAUCAUCAGGAAUACCACUCCAUCCAAGAGGAACAAUUGAAGUAGCUGUGCGAAUAACUGGUAAAUCCACAAUAUGUGCAAGCUCUACAGAACCAGCAACUGCAAGCCCAAGCCACUGUUGCAAAUUCAGAAAUUGAGGUAGUUGCUCAAUUCCUAGGAAAGAUGAUGUGCCAUCCCCCAUGCACAUAUCAUAGAUUCUGCACACAAUAAAUGGGAGAAAAUAUGCAUCUCAUGCCAAUUUUAACAAAAAGAAACUUGCAUGUAAGAGAAGAAUUUCCAAAUUCCAAAACAUAAUGCAGAUGUAUGAGCAAUCUAGCUGCUUUACAAUCCAACCAUCUAGAAACCACCUGUUCCAAGAAUGAUGCAGCCUAGUAAUUUAGGCAAGGGCAGAUUUAUAAUUUUGGAAACAAUUUCUGCGAAGACAAAUAUUUGCUAGCAAUUUAAGAAAUGUUGAGCACCUUUUACUUAGGAAAAUUAAUUUCUUAUUCAGGUUUCUCUUAAUUGGUCAAAUAGAAAUAGUUAUGAUACUUAUUUACAAAUCCAUGCCAAGUAGGAAUACAAAUAACUCAAACCUAUAAAUAUGCUUAUAACGUUUUAAUUUGAGCAUCAGUGAAUUAUUAUUAAUAAAGUGUGGCCUUUUGCUUUGAGAGUGAUGCUUUCAUUAAGGAGUGAAUCCUUAAACCCUAGGUGAGAAGCUUAGGUAAGGAAAUUCCUUGAAUCUACUAGUGUGAGGCUAGUAGGUUUAAUUCUGUUUUUCUUUAAUCUUUCUACUUACAGAACUGUUCUCAACUACCAAGUCCCUAAACAAAAUAAAACAUAACCCCAAAACACAGCUGGUUACAAAACUUCCCCUACAAUUGGAUUACUGAAUUCUAGAGGGAAGGUGAGGACAAGACCACUACAUUUCUACCAUGCCACCAAACUAUUGAUAUAGAAGGAGACAAAAGGAAGAGUGCCUAUGAAAAAGAUGAGCAUUAAAUACAUCUACAAGCAAUCAUUUAGAUAUAUGAGCAACAACCUGAAACCUCCUUUUUUUGAAAAAGAAUAACAAAGCCCUACCCCUAUGUUGACACCACUACCAUUUGUUACUGAGUGAAAAUUCCAGUGUUGGAAUUAAAUUGAAUUCAAAAUUCCAGGUAGCAUAACUUGCCAAUAGAUUGGUGCUUGAAUAUUUGCUUGUGCACAACAUCAAUGAGCUAUUAACCACAACAAUUGUCAUUGGACCCCUCACUGCACUUGCGUAGCAUUUCGUAUCUCAAGCAACCGCCUCGUAAACCACUGAGAAGCGGUGAUAGCAUUAUCUUCAUAUACAGUUUUCCAGCAUUCACAAUGUAACAAAGCUAGGACCACAUAAUUUCAGGAGAAAUUUUAUAUAGGUUACCUGACAAGGUAACCUAGCUUCGUAUCUCAAGCAACUGCCUCGUAAACCACUGAGAAACGGUGAUAGCAUUAUCUUCAUAAACAGUUUUGCAGCAUUCACAAUGUUUCCUUUCAUCUUCUAAAGAGUUGGAUUCUAAUCAAUGGGAAGUCCCAUUUCAGAAACAAGAGACAAUAUUACUGGAUUAAAAACUCUCAAACUCCAGUUUAUUUCUAAUAUCCCAAACAUGACACGUAACUAGAGAGGCGGUAGGAAAUCAUUGAACUUCUCCUCCUGAUUGGCAAUGAACCUGGUUCGAUUUAUAACCUUGCAUUACAUUUCUGUUGGUAAAAAUUCUUGUAUUUUUCAGCUUCACAACUAAUUUUUCUCCCAAAUGACACCUGCUCACAAGUUAUGAUAAUGCUGGACAACUUUUAGCCUUGAAUCUGAUGUUAUGUGAAGAGUUCUUUGCAUUCCAUUUUAGUUGUCCAAAGAAAGAAGAGAGAUGUAAACGGGAAAAAAAUGAGAAAGAGAAGAGCAUUCAAAGAAGAGUAAAACAUCUGCAGAAUUUCCUAUAGCAGAAAGUUGCAACUAAAUUAGAACUGCAGCUGCAUCAUGUGAAAUUAAAGCUGAAACUGAUAAAGCAUACAAGUACAACUAUAAAUCUAGGCAUAAUGAUGGUUGCACAUGUGAGGGAAUGGAACAUGCACAAGCCAGCUGAUAUUAUUGAUACUAUCAAUCAAGGUGAGAAAAUCACACCAGCUGAAAUUGCAGUUUAAGUUUUUCGAAUGCACCUAGUAAUCUUCAGUGGACAACAAUAUGGUACCUUUGAAAUCGAAACCUAUAUGACUUCAUUGAAUGUGAUUGAAGUCGUUCCCUUAGCUCAGCAAUCACAGAUCUGACCUGAAAAUGUCUUUGCCAGAAGAAAGCAAACAAAAUGAGAGAUCCCAGAGUUUUUACAUCCUGGCUUCAGCAGAUACUGGUGCACAAAACACUACUAAAAAUUGUGCAAUUUAUCAUGAUGUUCAAAAAUCCUAUCGCAAUAAAAAAAGCUGGAGUGAAAACAAAUGGGAUAAGCAAAGGGACUCGUACCGAUGUCAAUUUAGAGUACUCUGUACCCGACAAUAAUUCCACUGAUGAGUUCCCCAAGAGAAAGAGCUGGCACGAAUGAAAUAUCUUUGUUAAUAAUUCAUUGCUGAGCAAGAUGAGCCAUGGAAACUAUGACUUCUCUGAGAUAAGAGACCACUCAUUGGUGCAAUGGUAAAAUAUGUGGCUGACAACCACAACCACAAGGAUGUAGACUCAAUUUUCAAGAGCAGGUAAUUCAUGCAUAAAAAUUAAUGUGGUGUUCGGAAAUCUGAUGGGAUAGGACAACCAUGACACUUCAAAUGCACUUGUUUCUGGUGCAUGCAUGGAAAAGGACAAAAGACAAGUUUUGUACCCUCCUGUAGCCAGAAUUCCAUUCACCUCCCCAAUGAGAUAAUUUUGUCCUGUCAGGUGUAUACUCAUCAAAUAGACCCUAUAAGAAAAACUGUUUCCAAAAUUCCCCUCCCAUGACCCUACGAUGGAAGACCUUAACUAUGUACAGCCUUUUUAUUCAAUCAAAUAAUAAAAUGAAACACCAGAGUCAUAUACUUAAACUGAGGCCACCUUGCAGGACAAAUAACAGAUGCCUUGACCUAAAUAUCCACUGCCAGUUGAUUUUUUUCCCUUUCUGUGGUGAACUUUUUAGUUGUAUUUGGUUAAAUCCAACUCAAACUUAAGCUUGGGUAUCAUGACAAGGAACUGCACAGCUAGGGUGAAAGAAAUAAGAGCAGAGACCGCAUUUAACUGCAAUAGAAACUUAGGUGCUCUUUACAUAAAAAUGAAAAACCAGGGAAGUAAACAGCUAGAAUGUUGGCACUGCCUCACAUUCCACAAGGGUGGUUGAGGAUUGAUGCACAUCUUGAUGGGAUACAGAUGAGAAAUCCAACAAGGUGUUCGUAUUCAAAUGUACCACCAAUUGCUUGCCUCCAUCAACUGGUUUAGCAAAAUUGGGUUAGGAGGUUGAGUGCGUAAACCAAUUGACUUGAUGUUGGAUUAUAGGAAAUUUCCAGGGCGACAUAUCCAAAAGGACUAAUAUUCCCAAGCAAGCUCAUAUGCCAAGAUAAGACCACAAUUUUAGCAUAAUUGCAAACUGUUCAAAAGGAUCAUUACUUCUCCCUCCUCACCAAAGAAAUCCCUAGUGACCUAUCUAUCUUAAUAGUCAUGCUAGCUUAGAUCAUGAACCAACAAAAGGAAACAACAGUGAUAAUCAAUGCCUGUUAUGUAAGGGAAACACUGACGCAAAGGAGCCCAAGCAACUGAAAACCAUAUUUUGAGAAGGCCAGAUAAAAUUUAUAGAACAAAGGAGGGAAGCAAAGUAGCAAAGUUUUUGUUCAAGAAUGUACGUUAAUGGAAAAACACAGAAGACUAGUCCAAGGAGGAAUACCCCUCACCACACUAUUACAUACUAUCUUUUGAAAGUAUCAAUGAAAAUUAACGGGCACUCGUCCAAACAUGCUAAUGGAACCCAUUAAUGAAAGGAACAGAAACCACAACCAAUCAAUUUACCGAUAAUGUUUUUACAGUUCAUUCAUAUUUCAUCUCUCAAGCAUGUUAACACGUCCAAAAAAAAAACCAACCAGAAAGCAAUAUAAAAUAAAGUAUCAGUUCAUGUAAUUACCUGACCAAAUGGGACAUAUGAAGGCAAAUAAGGUACUCUAUUCCAGUUCCUUUUAUUCUCACUUUUAGCAUUAGUUUUUUCAGCCACUUUUCCAGUCAUUGCCUCAUUUGGUAGCCCAUUAUUAUUGUCAGAUAAUGGCUUAAGAGAUAUGCCAUCAGAACCCUCUUGGAUUUCAAGAGAUUGCGGUUCAGCUACAUUCUCGAUUGAAGGUCUUACAGAAUUAGCUGCUGAGGUUGCUUCUAUAGGAUCAACUUGUUUUCCAUUGUAUUUAUUAAAUUGCCUUCGAAAACCUUCUAAAGGCACAAGUUUUGCAAGUCUCCAAAAAGAAGUCUGCACAGGGCCUAAGCCCAUAACCAACUGCUCCCCCUCAUUCUCUUUUGGCUUCUGUGCCCUUGGUUUUUCUGUUCUUUCCUCAUGUUUUGACAUAAUUCCACUGGAACUUUCAGCCUCGGCAUUGUUUGACAAAGGCUGAGCGUUAUAAUGAUGAAAAUAAGCAGGAGAUAGGAUGCGGGGCACCAAAUCCUCUGGUAUGCAGUAACUCUUAAAAUGGUGUUGCCAGCCUUUUUUAUGGACAUAACUGAAUGAGAUUUGAGAGAGGAGAAAGGAUAUCAUAAAUUAACAUUUUUUGCAGAAGAGAGCAAACAAAAAGGUGUAUCUAGAUUUUCAAUUAUUUCAUCAUGUGAGAGAGAUGGCAAUCAAAGAGGUGAAAUGGAGCUUACUCUCGUAAAGCAGCAUUCCCAACUGGGGGUUGAGAAAAUGUGAUGCAUUUAACCUGGAUUCUUUCAUUUUCUUUUGAUGGUGAGGAUGCAGCAAUGACCCUCAGAAUGGCAAGGGUAGCUAAAGCUGCCACCUGAAAAAGACAGAACAUGAGAAUAUGAGAAAUACAAAACCAAAGCAAUUAAUCCAGUGAAGCUUACAGAGCAAACCAGUCAAACUUACAGCUCCACCGAGUGAAUGUCCACAUAAUACAAGUUUUCGAUUCUUCUUCUGAGCAAGCUUGUACAAUUCUAAAGCAGGAAUCCCCUUUGCACGAGCCAUGAAACCCUAAGAUAAAAUUUAAGGGGGGGAAAUCAAAACAAUAGAUAAGUAUAAAUCUGCACCAGAACAUGGACAGCUAAAGUCAAUGAUAUAAUUGAGAAACGCAAUAUACUAGAUCAUAACAGUCAAAAGACAUUGGGGUAUACAAUUGAACCAUAUUGAAAGGUUUUGAAAAUGAUAGAUUGCAAACUUACUCGAUGGGCAGCAGGCUUAAUUUGAUCUUCUAGUUGUUUUGGUUUUGAUUGGGAAGCAUUCAAACAAUUUUCACCACUAUCCUUCUGGCUUUCACAUUGGCCAGAUUCAACAACAUCCAUCCGGACAGUAUCCUCAUGAAAUAUAGCACCUUGCAGUAUAUUUGCAUCCGUCAUGACAUCCCUAGUCAUAACAAUUUCAAUAAACAAAAUCACCUUCUCAGAACCAAAAGAUCUUUCAACAUCCAACCCACAAAAUAUCCACAAUACUUACUUGUACUGCUUUGUUCCAAUAAAUGAAGCAAAUAGCGUGUCACCUGCUUCUGCCAAUAAGUACCUUCACAAACCCCCCCCAAAAAAAAAGCAAAUAAGCCAUAACAUAAGCCCAAAAUCAACAAGCACUCCUUGAACAAAUGUUCACCCACAUAGGCACAAUCAAAACCUCAUUCAAAUUCUACAUAACGCUCUGAUUCAUCCAAAUCCCAAGCGCAUUGAACACUAAGGAUAACUUGAGGUUGCAUUGAACACUAAAAUAAUAAAAACUCCAAGUGCAACAUACAUAAGAAAACAAAUAAUUCUACCUUGUUUAUCUUAUCAAUUAAAAAGAAAAAAGAAAAAAAGCGAACCUGUGAGGUACGUGAUCUGCAGACGGCUGCACGCGUUCCAGAGCAACGAUUUGCCCUCCAAAAUCAGCCUUAAAUUUAUUCACGACUCGAACCAUCUCAUCAGCAGGUCUCUAUCAAGAGAAUAAAUAAUUUUUAGAAAAAAUCUUUGAUUUUCUAAGAAACCAAACAGUAAAGUGUGGUUUAAUUAAUUUUCUUUCUACCUUGUAGACGCAUUCAGAGAGUACCAUGCAACAUAGAAUGUCCUGCAAAUCGGCAACGGACUCAGCUUUGACGGCAUUACAGAGAUCGUGAAGCUGUUUCUUCCUGAGUUCGUACUCUUGUUGAAUUCUCUUUCUGUGUUCUCUUUCGUCUCCGUUGAUCCACGGAGGCCACCGCAUUCUCCACUGCAGUGGCCCCCAUGAUACCUUGAGGAUCCUGGCUCUCUGGUCUCUGAUCCAUGCCUCUACUCUGUUCUGUAUCGAAUCCAUUGAAGAAAGAUUUUGAGGAUUGGAUUGGAAGGUGACGAGGAAACCCUAGCGACGGAGUGAUUGAAAAAUAGAUUCGAAGGAGAAGGCGCCAGGCAAAGAGAAACGUGUGUGGUGACGGGUCACUGUGACUGUGACUGUGACCGUGUCCGUGUCCGUGUCCGUCCGUGGAAGGAACUGCAGCUGGGGCAGUCUGCGUGUAUUGUACACAGUAUAUGCCCUCUGGCUGCAGCCAAAUAUAAUAAUAAUAAUAAUAAACAAAUAAAAAGUAUUUUGCCUUUAAAUAAGGCACUUUUCGCAUUUUCUUAUUUAAAAAAAUAAAAGCAUUUUAAAAUAUUUUUAAUCAAGUUAUGAUUUUUAAACUAUAUAGUUGCAGUGCAUAGAGUAGAAGGUUUAUUUUGCUUUAAAAGAUAUCAUAAGUUUGAUUGUUUAUAUGGUCACCCGCAUGGUUGAUUUCAUAAACAAAUCAAUUUUAUAUUUUAAAAAAAGUACUACAAAUUUGAUCAACCGAAAACAUUGUUAAGGUAAUCUUAUAAAAUAAUUUAUUUGAAGAAUAAUGUUUUUUUAAUUUAAGAAAACUGAAUGAGUUAUUUUAAAGAUAAUAAUUUAUGUAUUUUUUUAACUUUAUUUGGAAAGUGAUUAGAUAAAGGUUAAGGAUUUCUUGUGGAUUUUAUUUAAAUAUCAUACGUAUUUAUUUAUAUAGUUAUAGUUGUUUUAAAUAUUUUUUACUCAAAAAUAUAUUAAAAUAAUAUUUUAAAAUUAUUUUUAAUAUUAAUAUUUUAAAAUAAUUUGAAAAUACCAUAAUAAUGAUUAAUGGGUGUGUGGUUGAAAUUUGGGAAAUAUAGAUAAUAAUAAUAGUAAAAAUAAAUUUUCCCUGCUUUCGAGUACUUGUGCUAUUUAUUUUCCAUUACUUUUGUUCUCUUUCUUUUUUGUCUGGUAACUAAGUACGCCUUAAAAGAAAAAUGUUUGUCUUUUUGUAUAUAAAAGUAAAAUAUAAAUAAAUUCCUCAAUGAAAAUUCAACCACAUCCCUAAUUAAUUAUCAACACAGAAUUAUAUUUCCAAUUAAGAAAAAAAAUAAUAUAAUUUUAAGAAAAAUAAGUCAAUCAUGUUUUUCAUUGUUUACUAUUUACACAUCUUAUAAAAUAUUUAAUUAUAUAACAAUAUUUUUUUAAGUUGUAUUAGCCUAUAAUUUGAUUUUGAUUAAGGAAACUUUAAAAAUACUUUAAAUAUAUAUCAACAAAAAUCAAUAAAUAAAAUAUAAAAAAUAUAAGAUAAAAUUUCUUACAAGUGGUACAUUGUAAGUUUUGAUUAAAUUGGAUUCCUAUGAGCACUAGAAUAAGCUUUUAAUUUUCCAUCAUGCAUAGUCAAUAUCCCAAAAAAACUUAGGUAAUAUAGAUGAUUCUUUAUAAUUUAUUUGGAAAUUAUAUUUUAGCCCCCCUUUUUUUAUUUAUUAGUUGAGCGAUCCUUUUAAUUCUAGAAAAAAUAAUUUUAGCACCAAAUUUUAUUUUCAUCAUUUUCUAGUUUUUUUUUUUUAAGGACAGAAAGAGGCUUACUAAAUUCCAGCCUAAAAAUAGAAAGUUGUCAUUGCGAUGAUUUCAACCAAUAAAUUGAUUGAUUUUUAUAUCAAAUAGUUACAUUUGAUGAGGGGAAUUCAAAUUAGAUGCUUUUGGAUCUUAAAAGUGCAUUAAAAAGGAGAUGUAUGUCCUAUUUGUUUUUACGUUUCAAAAGCACUUUUGAAAAAAAAAUUAAAUUUUUUAUUUUUUUUCUUUGCUUCAAAUUAAUAUUCUUCUGUGUUUUUAGAUCAUUUUGAUAUGCUGAUAUUAAAAUUGAUUUUUUAAAAACAAACAUUAUUUUCAAUACAUUUCUGAAUAAAAAGCAUUUUGAAAAGCAACCACACUCCCAAACAGGAAGCUUGAAAUUUGUUUUUUCAGGAUGAUUUUGGGUUUUGACACAAUUUGUUUUGUUUUAUUGGUUAUGGGUUUGCUUAACAAGGUUUCUAAGGUUUUUGAGUAAGAAAUGAGUUGAAAAUUAGUUUAUAAAAAGAAAAAAUCAGCAACCUUAUUUUUUUUUGCCAUUAUGGUGGCCAGAUUCUAGGGAUUUCAGACAACAUUAUAUCUAUUUUUUUGCCAAAAAAUAGGACGGACAAUACAUUGUCCGCCCUAUUAAUUUUUUAAAAAAUAUGGUUCGCACACGGACACUUUCUUUAUGGGUCAGGCACUAGGCUUGGCUUUCCAGGUCCGCAAUGUCUACCCUUAUUCUUUUCAUUUUUUUUAUUUGUUUGUUUUAAAUUAAUGUUUUUUACAUGUAUUUUUAAAUUUUUUUACAUUUAUGUAUGGGUUAAUGCCCUUUAUUUGUGAUUUUUUUUUUACUUAUUUAGCCUUUUUAAAAUAAUGAUUACUUUUUUAUUAUAUCGAGUGUGUUUAAUUAUUUUAUUGUGUUAGUGUGACUCCUCUAUAGUUUUUCUUUAUAUUUUAUAUAGAUUAAAUUUAUUUUUAAAAUUAAAAAAAAUAUUUUUUUGUAAUAUUUUUAAUAUGUGCAACAUUGUAUGAUUUUUUAUUAUUUUAUUUUAUUCAAUAAUUUUUUUAUGUAUGUUUUGAUUUAUUUUAUAGAUUAACUUUCAUAAAUAAAUUCAUUAACCGAGUAAAUGGUCUGUAUUGCGAUAUUAAAUAUCUUGGCCUCCAUUUACCUCUUAAUUUCUCUAGUUUUUUUUUGUUACUUUUAACUAAUUUUGUUUUUAUUUAUUUACAUAAAUAAUUACCAAUUUAUUUAAUUAGAUACUUGUAUGGGAUUUUUUUAUUUAUACUUUGAUUUUUUUUAGAAAAUAGCUUGUAUAGCCAGGGUUUUUUAAAAAAUACAAAUUUAUGACCCGCGGUGAUGCGAUAGUAAAAUAGCUAGUAUAUAUAUUCUAUGUUCACAAAAAAAAAAAGUUUUAUUUUUUCGACGUAUGAUAAGAAACAUUUUCAAUUUAAAUACUUCAAUUUGACAUGAGAAGAUAAUAUUUUUUUAAUGUGGGAUGAGUUGUUUUUCAAAAUAAUCUUUUAAACUUUAUUAUUUACAAUAUAUAUGGCUUACUCCCAUAUAGAAUGUUUUUAAAAAAUUUCAUGUGAAAUAUUAAAAUUUCAAAUAUUUUUACUUUAAUUUUACCAAGUUGAUUUGUAUCAACCCUUGUAAACUAGAAGUCAACGCUUGGCUAGGUCAACGAUGUUUGACAACUAUGUUCUAUGGUCUUUUUUUUUAUCAAUUGCGCCUCUUUAUCCCCUCUCUUCCUCCACAAUUCAUAAAAUAAAGUGGUUAGGUCCUGGGUUUGCUCCUUGGAGGUCACUAAUUUGAGUCUCACAAACCUUGAAGCCACUGGAGGCUUACAUGGUUGUUAAAUUCAGGGUCCAUAAGAUUAGUCGAGGUACACGUAAAUUAGCUCAAACACUCAUGUUAGUAAAAAAAAAAAUGCAUGAUAACAACAUGGAUAUUACUCCAGAUACAAGAACCAAUUCAGCUUGUGUUCUAGUUUCAAUAUAAUUUAUUAUAGUUUCUAGAUUUUGUUUUUAUUUACAAACCAGUCCUAUAUGAAAAAAAGUUUGUCCUUGUUAAAAAUACACUUUAGUUUUUCUAAUGCAAAACCUUUUCCAAUUAAGUCCAAACAUGGAGUGUGUAUACACAAAUAUAUAACAUGCUUGUUAGGUAAUAAUUCAUUACAAAUUUUAAAAUUACAUAACCAAAUAUAAAAAUAUAAUAAAUCAUUACGUUACAUGAUUUAUUAUCUCUAACUUAACACGACACAAAUAUCAUGCAAUAACCAUUGCUAUUGCUACAGUCUUUAAAGAUUUGACUACCCAAAUUAUUUUUUAAUUUUGAAAUAAAAAUAUUAUUUAAAUAACACAUGAUAAAAGAUGUUACAUGUGUGGGGUAUCUUGGCAAUCAUUUUUCUCGAUCGAGAUCUUUAGGUGUGGGUGUAAAAAUUAAAGAAUUCUUAUUCUUUAUUUAAAAUAGGUUUGGGGUUGUCACCUAGUAUUUUAGUUAUUAAAACCCUUUAUUGAUCUUUAGAUUAUGGAUAAGAGGAUCGAUUGUAUAUAAGGAAGACAAUAUCACCUUUAGUACACCCUAACUAAGGUAAGUUGCAUCGUUUAUUUAUCUAAAUAUUAAGAUAUUGUUUUGUUUUUCUAACAUUUCAUUUGUCUACUAGUCAAAAAGAUCAACCUCCAGCAUGGAUUUAUGAGUUGAGCACAAUCACUAUAAAGCUAAAACAUAUUUUUGCAUUUGUUUAUUUUAACAUUGAAAACACCUUACGUAUGAGUUCACAAUCAUUGUCACACCCGACAUCGCGGUGAUCCUAAAAAUAAUCUAGAUUGGGGAAAAAGAAUAGAUAUCUAGCAUCUUGUUUUUUUGAGGGAAAAUGUUUUGUUUUAAGGAGUUGCCACCUAAUAUUAUUGUCACUGAAAACCGUAACUAGUCAACAAAAAUUCUAUGGUUCGAGAUUGAUUACGUAAAAAAAAAGAUAUUAUCAUCCCUUAAACGUCCUGCCUGAGGCAAACUGCAUUGCUGAUUUUGUCUUAAAUUGCUAAACGUUUUAUUAGUUUAUGCUAUGAUAAUUUGCUUAUAACACUCCUGACUCUGGCGCCAAUGAAUAUUCAAAUAAAAUAAAUUUAUUUUCAAGCAUGCGCAUUUGUUUUCUAGCUAAAUAAAAUAAAAUACAAUGAAUAAAAAUAAUAUAAAUUUAAACCAGUAUUUUUAUUCCCGACUCUGGCGUCAGUGAAUAAAUAAUAAAUUAUUAUUUUUAUCCAUGCAUAUAUAUAUUUUUUAUUUUUAUUAUUUUUAUUUUGUGUGUUGGGCUCAACUCGGUCCAUAUUAGCCCGAGCCCCGAGCCAUUGACUCGGCUGGGCUAGUUGAUUUCUUCCUCCUCUUUUAGUUUGUUCCCUUUUAUAGCUCCUCUCUGUUUUGUUCUUAGGUCUCUCUCUAUCUACUCUUUGUCUAUCCCCUUGUUGUUUUUUAGCUCAUUUCUCUGCCGGUUCUGCUCUCUUUUAGAGCCCGUUUAGCUCUGUGUUUCAACUUGCGUUUUCACAAAUUUCAAUUUGUUUUUGCUAAAAUUGAGUCGGUUUGUAAUUUUUGGAUCGUUUUGAUGUGCUGAUGUCAAAAAUAUUUUAAAAAAAAUAAAAAACAUCAUUGGCAUGUAUUUCGGCACGAAAAGCUAUUUGAAAAGCAACCUCUACCACACUGUCAAACACACUCUUUUAGUCUCCUGUGUCUUCUCCCCUUUUUUCUCCCUAGUUUUUCUUCCUCUAGUCCCCCUAGCUUUUUCGUGUCCCUCCUCCCCCGGUGUUUUAUCCUUCUCUAGUUUUUAUAACCGAAGAAUGUCAUGCGAUCACCUCCAGUUAAUGAAAGGCGAUUGUGCAUAAAUUUUAAUACAGGAGUAAAGGCAUUCGUUUUCAUGAAGAUGAACAGUGUUGAUAUUAAUGGUCAUUUGCAUUUUGAAUUUUGGCAUUCAAGUCUUUGGGUAAAUUGUAAUUGAACCCCUGCAUCUAAGCAUUAUUUACAUAUUGGUCCUUGGACUUUAAUCUGUUGCAAUUAUGCCCCCAAUUAACCCCAAACUUUGGUAUUUCUUCAAUUAAGUCCAUGAUUUCAUUAAUUAAAUUAAUUUCAAGUUCAAUUAAGUCUCAAAACUUAUCAAUUCUCUAGUUAAACCCUUGAUUUGAUUAAUUAAAUUAAUUACAAGCUCAAUUAAGUCUCAAAACUUAUCAAUUCUCUAGUUAAACCCUUGAUUUGAUUAAUUAAAUUAAUUGCAAGCUCAAUUAAGUCUCAAAACUUAUCGAUUCUUCAAUUAAGCCAUUGAUUUGAUUAAUUAAACCAGUCAAGAGUUGAAUUAAAUCUUUAAACUUCCAAUCAUGUUGCCCUUAACCUAAAUUUUAAUUUAUUUCAUUUUGUAUUUGUUUUUUCAUUUUUUUUCAUUAUCAUUUUUCAGUAAAUAAAAUAAUAGUAAUAAUAAUAAUAAAAUAAAAGGGUCAAAAAUUAGGUUAUGGCAAGCAUUAGCAAUAAAAUAAACAAAUUACUUGUUUUUUUUUAUUUAGGCCAAGUCUUUGUGGUUUUAAUAAAUUUAUUAUUAAAAUUGCGAUACAUGCAAAAUAUAAUAACUAUUUCUUUUUGGUAUUUUCAAGAAAUGUUAAAUCAUGUAAUGUAUUUUUUCUUUUGUUUUUCAAAUUAAAAUCGCAAACAUGAUUUUACUGGAGAAACCUGGUUAUAAACAAUUUAAAAUAAUGUUGUAUUUUUUUAAAAAAAAAAGAUUUUUUUUUUUGUUUUUAUUAUUUUUAAAAAUACCAGUUUAUUUAAUAUUAUAAAAGUGCUUCACAUUUAAAUUCAUGAUCUAAAAAAUUAAAUAUGAAAGGGUAAAAAAAUAAUAUAAAAUACUUAAAAUUAACUAUAAAAUGGUCCCUUAAAGGUUUGGAAAAUAAUUAAAAUUAAAUUAGGACUUGUUCGGAAAAAAAAAAAACUAUGAAAAAUAUGUUAGAAUAUGUUCGCCAAACACGCCUCGUAGCAAAAAAACCACAAGAAUUGUUUCAUGAAUUAAAAGAGAGAGAGAGAGAGAGAGAGAGAGAGCAUUUUUUCUAGACAGAUUUUGCCUCGACCUUGAAGGGCCCGGCCCAGAUACAUGGUCUAGGCUUCUUAAGCCUGGUCCAUGGACCAAAACAAACAGCCAACAAAGCAACGAAGAUCAAUCCAAGGUUAUUACACAUGAUCCAAAAAAGAAAACAAAGCCCAACUUUUCAUGAUAUAAAUCUAAUGACCCAAAGCCCAAGCUAAAAAAGAACGCAGCCCAAGCAUAGCCUAUGUAAUCAACAAAAACAGAGCCUGUAGAAAUAGUUAACUCAACUCCUGCAAUCAACAGAGACAGGGAGCAUUCUUUCCCCCCUCCGCAGGCUUCUCCAGGUUUUUUCCGUUUUCCGUCGCAGCUCCCUCCUAAUCCUGAACAAACAGGGCUAUUAUUUAUAGUUUAAAUCUUCACCCUUUAACCUACUUUGAUUGAUCAUUGCCUUUUAUAACAAAUAAAAAAAACCAUGUACUCUCAAACAAGACUGUCAAAGGCUCACUGAGUCAGGGGCUUUUUACUAGCAUGGCCUGGGUGACCGCUCGGGGGAGACAAUGCUGGGCCUGGCGGCGCACUUUAACGAAUGUGUUUGAAAAUAUUGUUAUAAUUAUUUUUUAAAAUAUUUUUUAUUUAAAAAUAUAUUAAAAUGAUAUAUUUUUUAUUUUAAAAAUUUUUUUAUUAGUGUAUUUAAAUGAUCUAAAAUUACUAAAAAUACUUUAAUUUAAAAAUAAAAAAAUUAUAAUUUUUUUUUAAAACACAAAAAUAAAUCAGAAAGCUACAAGAAGAAUGUGACAUUUUAUCUUACAUGAGGCGUAAGAGGUAUAUUAAAUGACUCCACAAAAGGGUUUUUUGCCGGCUCCUUCAAGGGGCAGAAAGAAGAAAAUAAACAGUAGAGCCAAACAGCACUGUUUGUUCAUUUUAUUCCUUUCUUUUUUUUUUUUUUUUUCAAUAUGUUCAUCAAUCUUUUGAUUUUGUUAAAUUCAACAAUUUGGGUUGAUUUUCUAAUAUUUUUUUCAAUUAGACCCACAUUACAUUAAUUUUGACCUAUAAUUUUUGAAUUCUUUAACAAUAUGGUUAUUGGUCUUGGAUAUUUUCAACUUCGUUAUUGAUUGGCUCUUGAAACUUCGGACUCCUUUCAAUUAAGUUUCUUAUUGCACCAAUUAGGUUAUUCAAAGUCUCAAUUGCGUCUCUAAUCUUUCUUUUGUUUUGAAUUGAGUUGCAUCUCUAAACUUUUUUUUUCCUCAAUUGAAUCAGAUUUAGAUUUUAGCAUCAACUUUCUUUUUAUUUUUUGUCAAGAUAUCUCAAUUUAACUAUUUUUCUAUAUUUUUACUUGUUAUGGCUCAUGGGCUUAUAUUCUUGUGUUUUGAAAAAAAAAAUUGAUUUUUUAUGAUUUUUCUGAAUAAUAAAAAAAUAUUUUUUUUAUGAAAGAAUUUUUGGGUAAGUUGUGUGUAUAUACCUCCAUUCCAUGAUCCAGGGGUGCUGUGUAAUUGAAAAGCUUAGCAAUGGCUAACAUGGUAAGAAAAGACAAACAGAACAAGAAACUUGCAAGGCCAUCGCUCUAGCUAUAAGGAUGAUAAUGGUUACCCAUAAAUUGGUGUUUUGCAGAUACUUAACUUAAAUAUAAAAUAAAUAUUUAAAUCUGAUCUAAACUCAACUGUGUAAGGAUUUUUUAUCUUGAUUUUGAUCUGAAUAGGUUUUAGGUAUCCAAUGAUAAUCAAUACCUCGAACUUAAAUGCUAUAAUUUAUAAUUAUUUUAUAUAUAAUUAUUUUAAUAUAUAUGUAAUUUUUAAAAAAUCAAUUUAAAUUAUUUAUUUAUUUUAAGUUGGGAUAGGGUGAACUAGUAUUCAUGUCCAAUCCAAAACUCUAUUUUUACUGGUAUGAAUAUCAAAUACAAAACUUGAUUUUUUGCAUUUGGGAUUUAUCCGAGACCAAUCAGAUUUAAAAUUUUUGAUAUCUAUUCAAGUUUACUGGAAUCAAUAUCCAUAAAAGAACUUGUUUAUUUUUGCGUUUUAAAAGUAUUUUUAAAAAAAUUUAAAUUUUUUUAUUAACUUUAAAUUGAUAUAUUUUUAGUGUUUUAAAUUAUUUUAAUAUAUUAAUAUUAAAAAUAAUUUUUAAAAACUAAAAAUUAUUUAAAAAACAACAGCAAUUACACUACUUCUAACUGCACUCAAUUCUCUAAUUUUGGCUUCUCUUGCGUUCAUGAUUGCAGAAGAAAUCAAUAAAAACACGCCUUCGAAGUCCCAAUUGCCCACAAUCUGCAAGAGAAAAGAACGUGGACAGGAAUUUCAGAAAUGAAGUCAGCAAAAGAUAUUAAGAUGCAUAUCUUAAAACGCGUGUUUGAGCAAUCCAGCAAAGAGGACGGUGGGCUUUACAGGCCUGUUUAAAAUUAUAAAUGUAAUUAUUUUUUAAAAUAUUUUUUAUUUUAAAAUAUAUUAAAAUAAUAUUUUUUUUAUUUUUAAAAAAUUAUUUUUAAUAUUAAUGUAUUAAAACAAUCUAAAAUAUAUAAAAAAAAAUUAAAUUUUAACAAAAAAAAUUAUUUUUUUAAAAACACAAAUUAACCCAUAUUUCUAAACACUCUUUUUAACUUUCGGUGUAGUGAGGGCAAGGAGGCAGGAGAAUUUCUUUACGUUGGUGUUAUCUAAAAAGUAAAAACUCAGGUCUCACGCAAAAUACAUCGACUGACUUUUUAUGGGUUCGAUUUUAAAGAAGAUUCUAACCAUUACGAGCUUAACUAUAUUUUAAAUUCUAUUCUUUUUAUAUUUUAUAUGUAUAAAAAAUUUAUUAAUAAUUUAUUAUAUUUUCAUUGUAUUAAUAUUCGUAUAGAGAAUAUCUAUCCAUAAUUAAUAUAUAUAUAUAUAAUUAUUUAUUACUCAUUAAUAUUAUUAAAAAAAUUACUUUCAACUUCUUCCCAUAGAAAUACAAAAUUCACAGGCUAUAAUACUUCAUAAAUCAUUUAGACUUUAAAAUCACAAAUUUUUUAUUUUAAUAUUUUUAAUAUAUAUAUUUUUAGAAUUUCUCUCUCUAAAAAUAUAUUUAAAAAUAUAAGAAUUCUUUGUUAGAGAAUAAUAUAAAUUAUAUCUUGAGAUUUCACCUAACAACUUAAGUUAUUGGGUUAAAUUGAUUCUAUGACAUGAUAUCAAAGUCUUGAUGACCAAGCGUUUACGAUUUCAAAUCUCACCAUCCUCAUUUAUUUGAUAAAAAUUAAGCAUAAAGUAAUAUGGACAUGUGCAAGUUUCAAGCCCAAAGGACUUUCACUUGAGGAGAUGUGUUAGAGAAUAAUAUAAAUCAUAUAUCGGGACCUCACCUAACAACUUAAGUUAUUGAGUUGAGAUGAUUUUUUGACAUUCUUAAAAUUAUAUAAAAAAAAUUACAAAUGCCAGAUACUUUAGUUUACCAGGUAUCAGGUACCGACUACUAGCUAUUUUAAUAAAAAAAAUAUUUAUUAAGAGGCCGUUUGGAAGUGCUUUUCAAAAGCGCUUUCGAAAAAAUUUGAUUUUUUUUUUUUGAAUUAAUAUGUUUUUGAUGUGUUGAUCUCAAAAAUAAUUUUUUUAAAAAAUUAUUGACAUAUUUUUCUGAGUUAAAAACAAAUAAAACCACAAUCACACUCCUAAACACGCACAAAACUAAAAAGUUAAUUAAUUAUUUAAAACAUAAACUUUGAUUUUAAACUCAUUGGAUAUUUUGGAUUAUUAUCUCCCAGAGAAUGGCAUUAUUCCAAAGCGUGCAAAAGAGACGUGUCGGCCUCAGAAGGCUAAAACCAAAGUCAUGAUAUCUUUUCGUUUGUCAACAUUUGCGACGCAUUUGCCUGUGAUAUUCUGUAAUAACAUAAUAUAAUGGAAUAAUUCAUUGGAUUCAUUUAUUUAGUUGCAAAAAUUUAUUGUAAAAUAAUUGAAGUUUUGAUAAAAUUUCAUUGUAGUCCUUGUAAGUUUUAAUUUAAUAUAAUAUUAGUUUCUAGAUUUUAUUUUUAUUUACAAAUUGAUCCUUGAUGUUUUUUUAUCCUUAUUAAAAAUACACUUUAGUCUUUGGGAUGGAAAACCUUUUCCAAUCAGGUCCUUACAUGGACACUCUUAAUCAUGUAAUGGCUAGUAUAUGUUUUUUUUUUUAAUAAAUAAUGCCUGUAGUGUAAUAAUUCAUUACAAUUGUAAUGUUCCAUUACAUUAAGAUUUUAAAAAUUAAACAAUCAAAUAUAAUAAAUCAUUAAAUUACAUUAUGAAAUUUAUUACUUUUAUUAUUGCUAUCUUCAAAGACUUGACCGCCCUAAUUAAUUUUUAGAUUUGAAAUAAGAAAUUAUUUAAAUUAUACAUGAACAAAUUCAGAAAAAUAAUUGAUGAAGCAUCACACUAGAAAAAAUAUAAAAAGUAGAAAUAUGUUUGAGCUUAAUAAUGCAUCGAUAACCCUAUGGUCACACACAGCCAAAGAAAGCCUAUGAGCUUUGUUCCAAGAGAGUCAACGGGCUCGAAUUUAAUUGCUGCAAUAUUUUAUUUGGGCCAAACCAUUCUCGAUGAAAAAAGAAAACGUUUGGCGAACUUCAAUUUCUCAAGAAUGCAAGGCUCGACUCUAUUGAUAAAUAAUUGGUCAUUUAAAACAUAGUUAUUUUUAACUGUUUUUAAUUAAAAAAUUGUUUGAUUAAUUCAUGUUUUAUUUUAUAAUUAACAAAUUUAUUAUUUAAGAAUAAAUUAAUUUGUUACUGAAAAAAAACAUGAUAUUAUUUGUUUUAAACAAACAACAGAAGUGUUUAUCGUGGAUGUUACUUUUUUCAAUGAUAACUUUAUCUAUUAAUUAUUUUAAUAAAUUACAUAUAUACCAAAUAUGUUAGUAUUUUAAUUAACUCAAUUUUAACUUUUUAUUUAUAUUAUUGAUUAUAUUUUAAUUAUUUUUAUUAAUAUAAUGUGUGUGUGUGUUAUUACAAUAUUUAACAAUUCUUUUUUUUAAAAAAAAAAUUGAAGAAUUCCUUCCGACAAGUAAAUAUACUGCCACAUGUGAUCACUGCAUCCUUAAAAUUGUCCGAGCAUCGUUUAAUAUAAAUAACAUGCAAGACUAAUGAGACGCAUCGUUUAAUAUAAAUAAAAUAUAUUUAUAAAAAUAUCUUUAAUAUACUAUAUUUGUUAUUAGUUAUUUUACAUAUUUAAAACACAAUAAUAUAAUUUAACUAAAUACUAUUUAAUUGCUUUAAAUAUUUAUAACUACAAUAGUAUAUUGAAAAUAAUUAAUUAUUGUGAUAUUGGUAUGAUUGAUUGCACGACACCCUGAGUAUCCAGACGAAAGCAUUGAUCAUACUUGAUUUAACAAGUUCAUUUUGUCCUCCUCUUCUAAAAUAUUCAAGAGAAAUUGACCCAAUGUUUCCUCCCAUGUGUCCCCCCCAAGACAGUGCCGCGAAAGCCUGAAGAAAUUAGGGAUUCUCAAUAAUAGUAACAAUUCGACCAAUAUAAUAUAAUUUAUGAUGCAUCCAAAUAAAAUAUAUCUGAAAAAAACUCUCAUUACGGAUAAAAAAUUAAAACAACUUCUGGACUCGGGCUACAAGCUUCAACUCAAUAUACAAUUGAGGCCUCAGAAUAAUAGGGUCAAGUAUAAUAUUUUAUAUUCAUUUAAUAUGUAUUAUUUUAAAUAAAAUAUAAUUUAAAAUAUCAUAACAAUAAAAUUUUAUUUUAAUUCAUUUUCUCUAUAAAACAACAAGAUUCAUGGACUAUAAUAUCAUAAGAAUCCUUUAAAUCAAAGGUGAAUAAUCUCUUUAAUUUAACUUACUAGACAUUACUUAUUAUUAUCAAUCAUCUCGAUUUUUUUAUUAAGUCAAUGCACCUUGAUUAGAAAGAACGAAUGAAAUUACUUAAAGUAAGAAUGCAUCCUUAAGUUUAUUUUUUAAUUUGAAUAAUUAAUUUUAGUCUUAAUGUCCAAGAUGAUCGAGAACACCCUAUGUCAUUAAAAAAAAACAUAUAAGAUUAAUAAGAUGUAUCAUUCAAUAUAAAUAAAAUAUCUUUAUAAAUAUCUUUAAUGUACUAUAGUUCUUAUUAGUUAUUUUACAUCUUUAAAAACACAACAGUAUAAUCUAGCUAAAUGCAAUUUAAUUGCUUUAAAUAUUUAUAACUACAAUAGUAUAUCAAAAAUAAUUAAUUGUUGUGAUGCUGCCAUGAUAGACUGCAUGGCACCCUAAAUAUCGAAAGAAAACCAUCGUUAAUACUUGUUUAACAGGUUAAUUUUGUCCCCUUCUUGUAAAAUAUUCCAGAGAAAUUGACCCAGUUUUUCCUCUCAUGUGUUUCCCCCAGACAGUGCCGCUUAAGCCUCAAGAAAUUCGGGACUGACAUGUCUUCUCAUCUGCAAAUACCAGGAAGGACAUGUUGCUUAUGUUUAAAGCAAUCUAGUGAUAGUAACAAUUCAACCAAUAGAAUAUAAUUUACAUAUUGAAACGUUAAACCCAUUAUUUAUAUAAUUUAUUUUCAUCAAUUCAUUAUAAAAAUUAAAUGUAUGAGUUUUCAAUUUCAAACAAUAGAGUAUAAUUUUUUUCAAUUUAAAGCUUUCCCGACCAAUUGAGUACUCUCUCUUUUUUUUAAUCAUUAUCACCAACGUUACUUUUAUUUUUAUUAAUAUUAUCAUCCACCCCACUAACUGUACAAAAUACACUUUUAUCAAUUCAAAUAAAUUGCACUCAAUUGAUUAAAAAAUGCAAACGGUCAAUUAAUUAUUUUUAAAAAAAAUUGUUAACACUUAAAGAUGCAAAUAACGAGUAUCGACAUUAUUUUCAUUAAAAUUCUCAAAAAGGUAUGCCCAUUACACGAGGAAUAAAGUUUCCAUUGCGCAAAAAGGGUGGAGUGGUUGUGGUUGUAUUAAAUUCUAGGCUUGCUCAUUACACGAGGAAUAAAGUAUUCUGGGUUCUGUAUUUUACCUCACGCACUAUAAUUUUACCCCAGGAAUAUUAAUUAAGAAAAAACUAUAGAAUUGUUUAAUUUAUUUUUUCAAAUAGUAAUUACAAAAAAAAAAUACUAAACACAAUCCAAUAUGGUAUUUGACUUUGUGUUACAAUCACGCUUUGCAAAUCUUUGAAUUUUUCUAGCUUAAAAUUAAUUUAUUUUGUUUUUAAAUGUGCUGGUAUAAAAAAUAUUUAAAAAAUUAAAAAAUAUAUAUUAUUAUGAUGUAUUUAUAAGUAAUUUUUUUUUUUUGAAAAAUGACAUUUGACACGCUUCUAAAUAGACACUACUAAUAUACCGUUUGGGAACGCGGUUGAAACCGCAUUCUAAAAAAAUUCAAUUUUUUUUUUUGCUAAAAUUUAAUACGGUUUGUAUAUUUUGGAUCGUUUUGAUGUGCUGGUGUCAAAAAUGAUUUUUAAAAAAUAAAAAAAUAUCAUUGACAUGCAUUUCAGCACGAAAAAUUAUUUGAAAAGCAACCAAUACCACACUGCCAAACAUACUCUAAAAGGGUGUUUGACCCUAUAGUUCAACCAAAAAAAAUUUUAAAAUAUUUUUUUUUGCUUUAAAUAAUUUUAUUUUUUAAAAAAAAUCUUCCAAAAUAGUGUUUGGAAUUAUCAUAAGAGUUAUUUUUUAAAUAUAUAAAAAAUAUAUUUUUUAAUUUAUUUUUAAUAUUAACACAUAUUAAUUAUUUAAAUUUAAAAGCUUUUUAAAAAACUUCUUUCACCCAAAAAAAUCCAAACUCUUUGUGGACUCUAGCCUUUCCUUGGCUCAACCAAAAAGCUAAGGACAAGAAUUUUAUUUAUGGUCUGGGUUGAAUAAAAGUGGUCCAAAAUGAUAAUGCUUGUCCAUGUGGAGUCAUGGUCAGUGUGAACGAUUAGUGAUGCAUUGCUGAUGUCAGACCCCAUUUAUUUCUUAAUGACCUUUUUCUCUUCAUUUUCCUAUAUUUUAGUCAUUCUACUAUCGUCGUGACAUUGCUCACAUGACACUGCACUGUAGUUAGAUUUGAAGAUCAGUGUGGAAAAGGAUGUUUCCACUGCAUUGAUUAAAAAAAACAUAACUAAUCAGUAUAAUUUAAUCACUUAAAUUUUAAAUUUAUUUUGUAAAAAAUAGUAUUUAUUAAUUUAUAAUUUAUUAUUAUUAAAAUUUAUAUAAUUAAUAAUUUUAAAAUUAGUUAAGAUACACAUAAACUAACCGAACAUUUAUAUUAAUAAAAAAAAAAACCCAACUGAUUUUUUUAAAGUGAUUUAGCACUCGAUUAGGUCAAUAGAUUCACAAAAUAUCACAGGAGUUGCUGGAUUGAUCCCUCCGUCCCCCACCCCUUCCGGGAAUCUAACCCCGAUAUUUUUUUUUCAUCUACUUUUUAAAUUUAAAUCUUAGAAUUAAUAUCCAAAAACUUUCAUCCCACCUGCUGUUUUUUCCUUAGCAACAAGGAAUGGCUAGCUUGUGUGUUACAAAGACAGGACACUAAUUACCCAUUUCGGAGGACAAUAAUUUUUGUUUUUAUUUGCUUUUUAAAAAUAUAUUUAUUUUAAAACAUAUAUAAAAUUAAUAUAUUCUUGAUAAUUUUAAUAUACUCAUCAAUAUAUUUUUAAGUAAAGAAUAUUUUUAAAAAAUGCUUUACACUCCUUAGAUCUCCAAGUCAAGGUUUAUACUAAUAAUAACCUGGAGUUCACAUGCAUAGUUAAGCCAGCCAGAAACAGAAAUAAAGAAAAGAAAAUAAAAGUUGAAAACGUAAUUAAGUUCACAUGAUUAUCUUUUGAUCUGCAUGUUCAUUGAUUGGUAAUUGUGAAUUAUUAAAAAACAAGGUCGUCUAAGCUUAGUGUUGCAUGUGGGUCAUUAUGCAUAGUCAACUGCAAAAAUCACGAUGGGAAACCCAAAAGUUUACGUUCUGUUCUAUUAACUAAAUUAAUUUAUUUUUAUCUAAUCUAAUUUCAAAUCUAAUCUAAAAUCUCCCACCUUAGAGAAUCCUACCUGCUUUCCACCUUCGCUCGCCAAAAUAUAAUUUUAAUCUUAAAAAAAAUCAUAUCUUAAAAUCUUGAUGGCUUAGGUUUUUUUUAACUUCUUAUAAUUAAUCAUGAGGAUAUUUUAAAAAUAAAAAAUAUCUACUUAACUAUGCAUGAGGAUAUUAUUUAAGAAUUGCAGGAAUAAUUUUAUUAUUGGCCUUUAACAUCUACUUAGUAUUUGUUUGUUUUGCGUAAAAUAUUUUACAAAAAUAAAUUUUUAAAAAAAUAUAUUUAUUGAUUUCUUCACCGUAAAAUAAUUUAUAGUUAACCUUCAAACUUAAUUCAUUUGUUAGAAGAUAUUUUCAACUCAUGAAGUUAUGUAAAAUAUUUUAUGAAUAUUAAUCAACUUAUAAUAUCAUUUAAUUAUUUCAAUCAUUUUUUUAAUUAUCAUUCUUAUAACAUCAUUAUCAUCAUCACCUUACCAUUGUAAUUUUUCAUUUUUCAAGAAAAUAUUUAACGCAAAACAAGCAAACAUACAAACACUUGCAAUUCUUCAUUUAUUCACUAUAUAUAAAACUCUUUGCUGAAACCCUUGAAACGGUACGAUGAGCUUGCCCUCAUCAUAAGGUUUGUUAAAGACAUUAUUUGAACCUCAAUUUUCUUCACCUUUAAUUAGCGGAUUAAUAAUAUUAAUCUCAUAUGAGUAGACAAGCCAACUUCUGCCCGGCAAAGCUUGUGCUUUAGAGAAGGCAACAAAAGCUAGAAUGGCUAAGUGAAAGGUGUGAGGGACUAGGAGCACCAUGGAUGCCAUGACUCGAUGGGCCCUAUAAAAAGUGGCUUUUUUAUUUUUAUUUUUAUUUUUUUGAUGGGUUACAUCAAAAGUCGUGAAGAUGGGGGGAAUUUCAUUAGAAUAAUGUUUGGUGAUUGAUAGUUGUUAAGCAUAGCGUGUUUUAAGUGAUAAGGACGCCUAUGGGAUUCCCACCAUGUGAAGGCUUUUAGAGUUUUAGUUAAGAAAUCAAAUCAAGCCGACCGCAAAUUCAAGAUAUUUCCUCAUUAACUUUGACAAAUUUGCAUCAAAAUAUUUAACGUGUGAAUGUUUAUAAGGGUUUUUUUUUUAUGUUUUAAAAAUAUUUUUAAAUAAAAUUGAAUAUUUUUAUUUUUUUAUUUACUUUAAAUUAAUAUAUUUUUAGUGUUUUUAAAUUAUUUUGAUAUACUGAUGUCAAAAAUAAUUUUUAAAAAAUAAAAAAAUAUUAUUGAUAUAUAUUUUAGCACGAAAAAGUAUUUGAAAAAUAACUACAAGUCAAACAAAACUAUAUCUUUUAAAAAUAUUUUUUUAUUUAAAAAUAUAUUAAAUGCAUCGCUCCAAACAUAAAUACAAAUGUUGCCUUAACUUUUUCUAAAGAUUUAUUACUUUUAUGAUAAUAAGUUUAAGCAAUUACGGGUAAUACGAUGUAAGAUAUUUUUCAAUUAAAAAUAUAUUAAAUAAUAUAUUUUAUAUUAAAAAUAUUUUAAAAAUCAAUUUAAUAUUUUUCAUAUAAAAAAAUAAUUUAAAGGGUAAUUUAACAAAUAAAUUCAUGUUGGAAGUGUGUUUACCGUUCUUUUUUAAAAAAAUUACUUGAAAAUGCAUUAAUUUUUUUUUAAAAAAAUAUUUUUGAUAUCAACGUAUUAAAUUGAUGUAAAAAUAUAAAAAAAAUAUUAAUUUAAAGUAAAAAAAAUUAUUAAAAUUAAAAAUUUUUAAAAAUGUUUAUGAAAAAAAAAAAUAAUCCGUGUUUAAAAUAAUUUAAACAAAAGCAUGCAUGAUGGAAGUGUCUUGUCAUUGAGACGUUUGCAAGAUCGGUCCCUUCUUUAUUUUACUUUUGUUCUGGAUAACCCUCUCCUCCUCUUCCUCCUCCUUUCCGCCAUAGGAUCUUCCUCUGCUAGAAUUCUCUGUCCAACAUUCGAUAGACACCUUUCUUUAAUUAAUUCACUAUAAAUAGACAUCUUCUAGUAACCAGAUCAAGGCGUAUCAGAUGGUCAUUUUUCAACAUUAAAAGGUGUUUUGACUACUUUCGAAUUCACUGUGCGUUGAGAAAUCAAUUUAAGGUAAGUGUAAUUUUUUUUAUUGAAAUUCAAUUAAUAUAAUUAUUAAUUAUGGAGAAAAUCAAGAGAAAACAAAGAAUUGGAGUAGGUAUAUUUUGAAUUGAAAUCCAAUAGAUUCAAUCAUCAAUUAUGGAAGAAAUCAGGUAUCACAUCAAAGAUGAAAUCAAUAAUCUUGAAUGAUUGGAGGUUAUAUUUUUUUUCUAUAAUUGCUUGAAUCAGCAUGUGUUGAGAAAACAAUAUUUCAAAUUGAAAUUUAAUGAAUACAAACACCGAUUACGGAGAAAAAAUAAGUACAACAAAAGUUAGGAUGAAAUCAAGGAUUUUGAAUAAUUAAAAAUUAUAAUUUAUUUUCAUAAUUAUUCAAUUAUAUUCUCAUUUAUAUACUUCGUUAAUUUUAACACCUUUUAAUUGGUUAUUUUAGAAAUUAUUUGAUUGUAUUUGUUUAUAUUCCAAAGAAGUUUAUAAUUUUUCUUGUACACUGACAUCAAUGCUUGAACCUAAAAUGUCGAGGAAGAGAGGAUAUACCGAUUGUUGUGGUCAUGCUUGAUGUGACUCUUACAACUCUGCUUGCCAGCAGAGCUCACAUCAGAGAAACGCGAGGCUUCGGUGUUGAGCAUUGCAUCAAAAUUCGUACCACCGUUUGACUUGAUUGUCAAAAAGAUGGUGUCCAAGUCCAGAAGCAUUAGUGAGAUCAUCAGGAAGGGAGACCUAGAUUUAUGCAGGAAGCUCAUCUAACCAAAAGAAAAUGAAGAACAGAGUACCGGGAAUCAAAGAAGAUCGCAAGGUCAAGAAAUAUCAUAAACCAUGAAUUCUUUUUCCUUUCAAUACACAAUAAAUAUCAUAAAAUUACACCCCAGAUCUAGAUAGAGGGAGAAAAAUGGAACCCAAGGCGACCUGUAAUUAUAUGCUAGACAACGACGAGUGAUGAAGCCAGACCAUUAUACAAAGAUUAAGGAGCUAAGGAGAGAUGUGUAUCACACUAGAACCUCUCCGGCAAGCGAGGUUCGAAGAAGGGUAUUACAGAAUCAUGGUCUGCCAUGGAAAACAGCAACAAUCCGUUGAUCAUGGUCUGCUUUGUCCACCUUACCCUUCAUAGGGCUUAGUGGAUUUACUAGACUUCCUCCUCAAAACUACAAUCCAAGUGAUUAAUUCCAGAAAAGCAGCAAUUCCACCCAAGACUGCAAUGACAAUUAUGUAAAUUGUUCUCCAUUUAUCUCCAGGCUGCAAGAUAUCUAGACCUUUAAACACAUUCAAGAUGCCAAGGAUGAGGAUGGCAUAUCCGACACCAUGAUGGUAGAUAUUCCAGUAAAGUCGGUAUUUGUGGUCCUUCUUCGGCCUCAAGAACAAUGCAAAUAUCUGAAAAUUCCAAGCAUAGAGUUGCUAUCAGAAUAAAUAAACCCAAAAUUAAUAGUAACAGUUCAGACAAAGCCAGUUUCCAUAUACAUUGCAAGUAGUACCGUCGGCCAAGAAGAUGGACAACUAUAGAAAAAGGGUUGAAUUUAUUUCUAAGUCAGUUUUGUAAUGAAAUUUUGUUUUUUUAAGAAAUAAGAAACAUAUCCCCUAAUUAGUAUUCAUUAUAAGAAAACGCUAAGAGAAAAUAAAACUGACUGAGACAUGCUAAAAAUUCCGAAUUCAUCACCCUUUUCACAUGUCUUACGGGUUAUAAUUCGAAAUACCAUAGGAGAAAGCUACUCCACAAGUACCAUUUUUGUCAAGUUGAUUCAAUUUCACGCAUUAAUAAUUCAGUACAUUGCAAGAAACCGUGACCAUGAUUUUGACAGGAGAGAAAAGGACAUCAACAAGCUCAACAGGAAAACAAAGGCCAAAUUCAAAUCUUUUCUCUCCUUUCAAAUGGAUGAAAAGAGCAACUUGUAAUGGGAGAAGAACACAACUGGGAAGGAAAUCGAUUACCUGCACUGUCGCAAGAGCGAAGAGUGCGAUCCCAAUAUUGCGAUGAAGAGAAAACCGGACUCCCUUGGAUUCAUUCCCAAGCUUUAUACCAGUUGCCCACCCUGCAACCCCGAUAGCAUAGGCAGAGACCUGACAGAAAACAUGAAGGUAAAACCAUGCAGGAUCUGCUGAUGGAAAAGUUCUCAGAUAUCUUGCUAUUACAAUUCCUAGCGGAAACAGAAUUCCCCAGCUCACAGCAUUCAGUACUCCAUGAAUCUGGAGAGAAAAAAAAACAAUAACACAGUAAAUAUUUCAUUUCCAAUGCUACUAAUUUUUCCAAAAAGAAAAAGAAAAAACCCAACUCAAAAAUAAAUCUUCAAAAUCCAGAAAGGGGUACGGAAAAGAUGUUAAUUUUUCAAAAAAACGAAAAAAAAAACAAGAAGAAGCUUACAUUUUUCCUUUUCGUCCUGGAAUCCAGUCCACCAGAGCUAACACUUUUUCCUCCGUUCAAAUCCAAAGUCCCUUUAGAGUUCAAAUUAGGAGCACCCAUAUCAUGGAUUGUCGGCCCACCCUUAGCAGCAUCGACAGCUGACCCAACUUGCCACACCUGAUUCAGCGUCCCCUUCGCCGCCAGCUCCGGCGGGACCUUAAUUUUGGCAAAUAUUCUCAUCACCCCACUUUCCUCUUCUGCGCGCGUGUCCCAGACGUCAAAGGCCAGCUCCGACUGCACAACCGAAUAAGGCGUGGAGGUGCUGAUAUUAUAAGUCUUUGCGCUCAUUACACCCUUGGAGUCCUUGAACGCUACCAGUGCCUGGGCCCCGCCCAUGGCUGGAGCGUGGGAUUUAUGGCCCAUGAAAUCCAGCCGUUGGAUUUCGCAGGAGAAGCAAAGAAGGCGACGGACAGCGUUGAAUUUGCGGCAUCGUAGGUGAAAUGAAGGUAGGAGGAGAGUGUAGGGAGGUCUAAACAGUGGAUGUACAGAUUGUUGUUUGUGAACGUCUGUGAGGCGCAUGUUUGUGAACGUACGGGUAAGGUUAGAGAAAUUGAGACGCAAAAGGUUAGAAGCAAAGCAGAAAUUUUAAACGGAGAUGCCAUUUUUUAGAGCAAAGGAAGAGUUGAGAGAAGGAUUGGCUCUUGAAGGUUUGGCGCAGUAUAUAUAUAGAAAAGAAGGAAAGAAAUAGACUGCAGAUGCCGAAGGUUGAUGGCGUAGGAGGAUUUUUAAUUAUUUAUUUUUUUAAUUAUCUUUAUUUAUAUUUAAUCUGGGAAAAUAUUUUUUCAUGUUUUUUCUUUUUUUAUUUAGUUUAGGAAAUUAUUUGAUAUUUUAAAAAAUUGUUUGAUAUUUUUAUUUUUUUCAUGUUCAUUUUAGAAAUUAUUCAAUUUAAGAAUUUUAUGUUUUAUUAUUUAAUUUAGGCUUAAGACUAGUAUAAAUAGGAUUGCUUAACUUGUAUUUUAGAAAACAAUAGCCAAUAAUAAAAUCUUAAAUUAGAGCAUUUGUGUGGUGAUUCUAUUCAACAAAUUUUUAUAUUGUCAAUACUUGUUUUUCUAGUUUAUUUUCAUUUAUCAACGCUCAACAAUUCCUAAUAAUUAAUAUUGUAUGUCGUUAAAUAAUAUUGACAGGAAAAGUUCAUAAAAUAUGAUGUGUUUAUAUAGGAAAGGAUAAAGAGAUUCUUUUCAAAAAAGAGAUGUUCACAAACUGGUAAUAUAAAAUAUAUAGAAUCAAAUUGCAGAAUUAACCUUUCAGUUGGUAGAAAUAGAGAACUUGACGAAUCACAUGGAGAGUCAUCGCAAAUCCAUGUCUAGCUUUGAAAAAUAGUUUGAGAAAUGAAAGCAAAUGAGGUAGUCUUUUGAUUAAGAUAAAUAUCAUAUAGAUUUUAGCAAUCUCGUUUAAGAUGAAAUAGAUAUGAAUUGAUAUUUUUUUUAUUAUCAAUUUAUCAUGUUUAUUUUGAUAAUGAUUGUAAUGUUAAUCAUUGUAUAAACAACGAUAAUGACAUCAAUGAUGUCUUCAUUGACAAGUUAGAGGUUAAGUGCAAAAAGUAUAUAGAAAAUGUUAAACAAAAGAAAAUUAUUUAUUGAGGCUAUGUUGAUUUUUUUGAUUUCAAGCUUAUUAUUAUUAAAAAGGUAGAUUUAUUCGAGGAUUAUUUGGAUAUAACUAGUGUUGAUGAAGUAAGCUUGAGGUUUGUAAUUUGUUACUCUAAAAGCCAAUAAAAAAAGAAAUAGUUUGUCAAAUUUUAAUUCUUAUGGAAACUUCAACAUAAAAUGAUUGAAGUUAAUAUCUAAAAUUGUUAUACACACAGAAAAAAGAAAGAAAAAAGAGUUGGACAAUCUGGAUUUUACAUCUGCGAGAUUAAGAUAAGAACAAUUAUAACUUGAUAACAAGUUCUCUCUAGCAUAUAGAGAUUGAUACAGGAGGAGUUUUACGAGAAAUUAUUUAUUAUUUAUUUUUAGUUUUAUUUAGCCUAGGUAAGUAUGUUUAGAAAAUCAAAUACUAUGUUUGACAAUUAUUUUUUUCCGUUUAGUUUAAGAUUUAUACAGUCUAGAAUUUUUUUUAUUUAGUAUUGAUCUAAAACUAGUAUAAACAGAGUUGCUUAACUUAUCUGUAAAAAAAAAAAAAAAGUUGCUUAACUUAUGUUUGAGUAAAUUAUUUAAAUAUAUAUAUUUAAUAAUAAAAUUUAAAGUUAAAGUUUCUAUGCUAUAACUCUAUUCGACAGGACUGUAUGAUAUUGGUUAUUUUUUAAAUGAUAUUUUGUAUCAAAAUGUAUGUUAAUGAUUUUUUUUUUAUUUUUUUAAAAUUAUUUUUAAUUUAAAAUAUUAAAAUGAUUUGAAAACACUAAAAAUAUAUUAAUUUGAAGUUAAUAAAAAAAUAAAAAAUUCUUUUAAAAACAUUUUUAAAACGCUAAAACAAAAUAUUUUAUCUUAUAUAUAUAUAUAUAUAUAGAGAGAGAGAGAGAGAGAGAGAGUUAAAUUGGUCAAUGCAACUUUUACACAGUUCUGUUUGACUGAUACGUAGGCCGAGCAGGACACGCAGAGGAUGUGAGGAGAAGAAAAGGAAAUGUAAUUAUUGUUUUUUCUUAUUAUUAAACAGCAUGUGUGGUUAUGAUUGUUAAAAAAAGAAAAAAAGAAUUGAAAAAUGUUUGAAUUUGGGAAUUACAAAAGGUAGCAGAGAUGACACGUGGAAUUUGACCUAAAUAUGUUAAUUUAUUUUUACCUGAUUCCCAACUAAUUUCAUGCCGAAAUGCUCGAGUUACGCUAGCUUUUACCUAGACAUGCUUUCUAAAAUAUUUUCAACAGGUGGAUUUUUAUUUUCCGGAGUCAAAUCCACUUAUUUAUACAUAAUAUACGAUUUUCAGGAGAUAUUGAUUCUUUGAUGGUAAAAUUAGCAUUUUUAUUUUUAGUGUUUUAACAGAAAGAAGUCAAGUAGAUGUUGAAUGCCUCUUACUAUAAUCGGAAUAUCGUUUAUAAUUAGUUUUUUUUUUAAUCAAUUUAUAUUUCCAGGUUGUUAGUAAAUUGUUAUUCAAGUUUUUUCGAGAACCGUAACAAAUACCAUAUACUAUGCACAUAGUAUUAUCCGAGGAGUUCCCGCUUCGUUGGGAAAUUGUAUUAUUAUUUUUGCUUAAUAAAUAAUGUUCAGGUAUCACAAGUUUUUUUUUUAAAAUAAUAUAUAACUCGGAUUAUAAAUCUGACUAUAUCAAAUAAUAUGAUAUUAUUUUAUUUAGAUAAAAAAAAAUAUAGAAAACAAUAACCCGGUAUAUAAUGUCAAACUCACGGUUCAAAUAAUAAAAUUAGAAUAACUUAAUAAAAAUAAAAAAAAUUAUAAAGUUUUUUUUAAUAAAAAAAAAUGUUAACUUUUUAAACUUGUGAAUUGAAGUCAUUAGACCCGAAACAUCUUAUCUGAAAAAACCAUGAAGUUUAAUUCUUAGUCAAAUAAAUAUUGAAGAAUGAAAUUGAAGAAAAAAACUCAAUUAUACAAAAUAAUUCAAAAAAUAUCAAUAAAAGUAUAAUGAUCAAAAUUAAAAUACAAAAUAAUUUUUUUAUGUAAUUCAAUGAUGAGAUUUUAAAGAAAAAUCAAUUGAGCAAGAUGACCUAAAAAAUCAAAAGAAUGAGGAUCUCACUUGACAUAAAAAUAUAUAAAAAAUAUUUUAAUUGAAGACUGAAAUUGAAAAUAAUAAUAACUUUUACAAAAUGGCCAGGAAAAAAAAAUUUGAAAUCAAAACAAUAAGAACCAGAUUGAAAAAUAUAAUACCAUCAAUCUGCAUUGAAGGAUGAAAUUAAAAAUUAAUAAAAUUUUUACAAAAAAACCAAGGAAAAAUAUGAGAAAUAAAAAAAUAAAGACCAAAUUGACAAAAAUAAUAUAUAGCAUAUUGGGAUGGAAUGAUCAAAUUGAAAACAAAUAAUUUUUUUUAAUAAAAGAGUCAAGAACAAAAAAAUAAAAAAAGUAAGGAUUGAAGUUGAAAAAUCAACAAUAAAAAAAGUCAAGUUGUAAUUUUCAAGGUGAGGCAAGAAAAAAAAAGAAAAAAAGGCCUAUUGAUAACAAAUUUUGAUCACCAGAAUAGACACGAGCUGCUACACAUAAAAGAUGACACAACAACGUUUUAGUGGGCAUUUUUAGAUAUCAAGAGAUGUUGCACAUGCCACAUACAAGGUGCGGGCACUUCCAACGCGUCUUUUGGUGUCAUACAUACGCCCAAUCUUUUUGUUAUGUGUGUAUAUAUAUAAUUAAAUACCAAAAAAUACAAAAAUAUACUUUGAUGGAGAUCUUAUAUUUUUUUUAUUUUAAAAAUAUUUUUGUUAUUGCAUUAUGCAAUUGAGAUUGAAAAAGGUUUAUUUAUACCAGGUUAAUUUGAUGAUGACAAAUGGGCUUUAUGCAAAAAUAGUUAAAUGCCAUUGGAAGAUAAUGAUAAUGUUUUUGAAUGAAAAAGUACACUACUAGAAAAUUAAUAAAUACAAACGAAAAUAUUCCCUCGGUAUAUACCGAGAGAAUUACCGUGAGAAAUUUUUUUAAAACAAAGCAAAAAAAAUGAUGACGUGUCAUUUUUUACCGACGGAAUUACAGACGGCAAAUUUUGUCGGUAAUUUCGUCGGGAAAUCCGUUUGUAAACUGUGAACACUGUUCAUUAUGUCAAUUACAAAGAGAAUUACCGACGGAAUUUGCCGUCGGUAUUUUUCAGAGAGCUCCAGAACUGUUCAUUUUCCAAUUGCACUGUUAAUUGUUUUACUUUACGGACAAAAUAACUGACGGAUUGAAAAUGCAUCGGUGUGUUUUGGUGGUUUUCUGAAAAAAUUCAAUUGAUUUAAAAUUUUCAUUUAAAUAUUACAGACGGAAUCACCGACGGAUUAAAAAAUCAUCGCUAAUUUUUUGACGGUUUCUGAAACUUUUUACGAAAUUGAAAAUUUAAAUUAAAUAUUACCGAUGAAAUAAUUAAAAAAUAUUAAUAUUCAAUUAUCCAUCGGUAACGAACCCCAAUAAAAAACCUGAAUCCGCUUUUUCACAAUAGACAGACUCAUUAUUUCUUUUUCUUCUUCUACUACUUCUACUUUUUCAUCUUCUUCACUAUAUGUAAAAAACAUCAAUAUCUAUUUCUUUCUCUUCUUUUCUCUUCUUUUCUCUCCUCAUCUCCUUCUCUUUUUCUCCAUGCUCGGGUAUGUCUUCUUCUUCUUUCUUCUUUUAUCCUCUUAGUUUUUUUUAAUUAAUAUGCUUUACGAAUUUGUUUUUUCCUUAGCUUCACUUGCAAGUAUAUUAAGGUAAGAUUUUACUUUUUUCUUAUUUUUUCAUGAUUGAUUUCACUAUAUUUGUUUUUUAGUUAAUUUUAAUUGAUUUUGUUCAUAAUAAUUGUAUAAAUGUUGUUGUGAGAUUUUGUUUUCAUAUGAGAUCAAUUUUUAGUUGAUUUAUUUAUAGGAUUUUUAAAUUUUUAGCAAUUGCAACUUCAUUUUUUUCAUAUGAAUUUUUUUAGUUGAAUUAAUUUUUUUGUUUUAUUUUUUUUGUUGUAAAUUUGUUUGAGUUGAUUUUCUUAUUCUUUUUUCCAAGCAUUUUGAGUAUAUAUUAUACAAUGUUGAUUUAGUUAUUUUAUAAUUUUAUACAAUGAAUUUUUUUAAAAUGUUUUUAAAUAAUUACCGACGUAAAAUUCCGUCGGUAAAUCCGUUGGUAAUAAACAAAUAUUUUGACCAACGCGUCUGUUCCGUGGGUAAUAAUAUUACCGACAAACAAAAAAUUACCGACGAAAGAUUCAUCGACGGAAAUUCUCUGUCGGUGAUUUCGUCGGUAAAUUAAUUACCGAUGGAAUAUGUGUGUUACGCCGACGGAAAAAUUCCGUCGGUAAAACUGUUAAAUCUUGUAGUGGUAAAACUAUUCUUACAUUGUUCAAGUAAACAAUAUACUUAAAUCUUAAAUUUGGAGCUAUAAUGUUUUUCCGAGACCAAUUGGUUUUCUUUAAUCCAGUUACAAUUAACAUUAUGAUUGAUAUGAUUUAAUACAAUGAAAAAAAAAUGUACAAUAAUGAUUGGUUGCUUUAUUUUAUUAUUUCAUUUGGUGAUGGUAUGUAUUGCGAUUUUUUAAAAUAUUUUUUAUUAAUUUAAAAUAUAUCAAAAUAAUAUUUUUAUUUUUAUUAACACGUCAAGACCAUAAUAAAAUACUUAAAAAAAAAGUAAUCUUAUAAUGUUUUAGAUAAAAAACAAAUUGAAAAGCAAAAGCUGUCACAUUGUCAGAUAGGUAUAAAAUGACUCUGUUUAACAUUACAGUCCAAAAUUCUUGCAUUUGUUGUAGCUUUAAAUUAAUUUUUUUUAUCCUUAUUGGUUAUUUUGAUAAGCUAACAUUAAAAAUAAAGUUUUUUUAAAUAUUAUUUUAAUAUAUUUUUAAAUGAAAAAUACUUUAAAAAAUAAUAUAUAUCACACCCCUAAAUAGAUCUUAAAUAUACGCAAUAAAAGGUUUGAUAAACUUUUUUAUUUUAGACACUGCAAUAGUUAAGAAAUUUGUUUUAGUCCCUUGUAUUUUUAUUUUUAUUGCUGAAGUGGUCCUUAUUUUAAGAUUAUUUAAUCCUUUUUUUUGUUUUUGAAAUUACAUUUUAGUCUUACAAUGUAAAAUUGAGAUGUCAUGACAACUAACGACAUGUUUGGUACGAUUCAACAUGAUGUAAUCAAAGAUGUGAUAUAAUGGAAAAGUAAUAUAUAAUAAUGAUUCACUGUAUUAUUUUGUUUCGUUGUCUAAAUUUAAGUAACGUAACGAAAGCUUUUGAUAAAAUUUUAUUUUAGACACCGCAAUUGUUAAAAAAUUUAUUUCAAUCCCUUAUGUUUUUUUAUUUCCAGACACCACAAAAAAAAAGGUUGUCAUACUCAAAUAGAAAAAACUAGCCUUGAGCCCGCGCUUCGCCAAGGGUCAGCUAAAAAACUAAUAAUUGUAUAAAAAUUAAUAAAAUAUGGAUGCUAUUAUUUUUUCUUAUAUAUUAUAAAAUAUCUGGAAAGGGAAUUAAAAACUCAAUUAAUAUAUCAAACAAAAUCAAUCGAUCACCAUAAGCAUUAAUAAAUAAAUAAAAGUUGACGAGGCUUAUUCAACCUAGCAGGUCAAGGGUGAAUUGGGUAACCUGUUUAAAUGGUGAUCUGGUUAAAUAAAAAGUCACACAACCAUUGUUUUAACUCUGCUUAACUCUAGCUAAAACGUAAAACAACGAAAUGCCAAAGGAUUGGAUAAAAUCAAUAAGGGAAUGAAAUAAAAAAAUAAAAUAUUAUAUUAAUUUGAGUUAACAUAUAAAAUUUACAAUCCAGAAAAUAGACACAAUCAUAACGAAAUAGCCCAAUUGGAUUAUUUGUCUCUUUUGUUCUCCUUUUAUUCUCUUUUUGAUUAGGCCUUGAUUGAGUUAACAUAUAAAAUUUACAAUCCGGAAAAUAAACACAAUCAUAACGAGAUAGCCCAAUUGAAUUAUUUGUCUCUUUUUUUCUCCUUUUAUUCUCUUUUUGGUUAGGCCUUGAUUGAGUCUUAAUUGAAAAUGAAAUUUAAAAAGUAUAACAUAUUGUAUUGACUCGAGUUAAGUUGAAUUAACAAAUAAAAUUUACAAUUUGGAUCAUAAAUAUGAUCUCAAUUAAGCAUGAUUUUUUUAAGAUAAAUGAUAAAAAGUAUGAAAUUGUAUUUUUAUGUUAUUUUAAAUUAAAUAAAAAACUUCAAUGGCAACAAAGGAUUAAAAUGCAUUUUUAUUAAAAAAUAAAGGGAAAAUGCAUUAAACAAUAAAAAAGACAUGAAUAUUGUGUCUUAACUCGUCAAAGAAUAUAAAAAAUCGUGAAAAAAAGCUGAAAAAAGAGCCCACUAGGCCACUAAAAAAAUAACUCAGCCUGCAUGCCUAAACCUUGUAUAUUUUUUUGUCUUUUUAAGAUGACUUAUCAUCUAUCCCUAUUCAUUUGGAAUGAAACUGAUAGUCAAACGUGUUGUUUAUCUAUCCAAAUUCUAGCUUCUUAGUGAUAACUGAUAAAUUAUACAAAGAUUAAGGAGCUAAGAAGAGAUGUGUAUCACACUAGAACCUCUCCGGCAAGUGAGGUUCGAAGAAGGGUAUUACAGAAUCAUGGUCUGCCACGGAAAACAGCAACAAUCCGUUGAUCAUGGUCUGCUUUUUCCACCUCAUCCUUCAUAGGGCUUCGUGGAUUUACUAGACUUCCUCCUCAAAACUACAAUCCAAGUGAUUAAUUCCAGAAACGCAGCAAUUCCACCCAAGACUGCAAUGACAAUUAUGUAAAUUGUUCUCCAUUUAUCUCCAGGCUGCAAGAUAUCUAGACCUUUAAACACAUUCAAGAUGCCAAGGAUGAGGAUGGCAUAUCCGACACCAUGAUGGUAGAUAUUCCAGUAAAGUCGGUAUUUGUGGUCCUUCUUCGGCCUCAAGAACAAUGCAAAUAUCUGAAAAUUCCAAGCAUAGAGUUGCUAUCAGAAUAAAUAAAUCCAAAAUUAAUAGUAACAGUUCAGACAAAGCCAGUUUCCAUAUACAUUGCAAGUAGUACCGUCGGCCAAGAAGAUGGACAGCUAUAGAAAAAGGGUUGAAUUUAUUUCUAAGUCAGUUUUGUAAUGAAAUUUUGUUUUUUUAAGAAAUAAGAAACAUAUCCCCUAAUUAGUAUUCAUUAUAAGAAAACGCUAAGAGAAAAUAAAACUGACUGAGACAUGCUAAAAAUUCCGAAUUCAUCACCCUUUUCUUUUCACAUGUCUUACGGGUUAUAAUUCGAAAUACCAUAGGAGAAAGCGACUCCACAAGUACCAUUUUUGUCAAGUUGAUUCAAUUUCACGCAUUAAUAAUUCAGUACAUUGCAAGAAACCGUGACCAUGAUUUUGACAGGAGAGAAAAGGACAUCAACAAGCUCAACAUGGAAACAAAGGCCAAAUUCAAAUCUUUUCUCUCCUUUCAAAGGAAAUCAAUUACCUGCACUGUUGCAAGAGCGAAGAGUGCGAUCCCAAUAUUGCGAUGAAGAGAAAACUGGACUCCCUUGGAUUCAUUCCCAAGCUUUAUACCAGUUGCCCACCCUGCAACCCCGAUAGCAUAGGCAGAGACCUGACAGGAAACAUGAAGGUAAAACCAUGCAGGAUCUGCUGAUGGAAAAGUUCUCAGAUAUCUUGCUAUUACAAUUCCAAGCGGAAACAGAAUUCCCCAGCUCACAGCAUUCAGUACUCCAUGAAUCUGGAGAGAAAAAAAAACAAUAACACAGUAAAUAUUUCAUUUCCAAUGCUACUAAUUUUUCCAAAAAGAAAAAGAAAAAACCCAACUCAAAAAUAAAUCUUCAAAAUCCAGAAAGGGGUACGGAAAAGAUGUUAAUUUUUCAACACAAAUGAAUAAAUAAAUAAGCUUACAUUUUUUCUUUUCGUCCUGGAAUCCAGUCCACCAGAGCUAACACUUUUUCCUCCGUUCAAAUCCAAAGUCCCUUUAGAGUUCAAAUUAGGAGCACCCAUAUCAUGGAUUGUCGGCCCACCCUUGGCAGCAUCGACAGAUGACCCAACUUGCCACACCUGAUUCAGCGUCCCCUUCGCCGCCAGCUCCGGCGGGACCUUAAUUUUGGCAAAUAUUCUCAUCACUCCACUUUCCUCUUCUGCGCGCGUGUCCCAGACGUCAAAGGCCAGCUCCGACUGCACAACCGAAUAAGGCGUGGAGGUGCUGAUAUUAUAAGUCUUUGCGCUCAUUACACCCUUGGAGUCCUUGAACGCUACCAGUGCCUGGGCCCCGCCCAUGGCUGGAACCGUGGGAUUUAUGGCCCAUGAAAUCCAGCCGUUGGAUUUCGCAGGAGAAGCAAAGAAGGCGACGGACAGCGUUGAAUUUGCGGCAUCGUAGGUGAAAUGAAGGUAGGAGGAGAGUGUAGGGAGGUCUAAACAGUGGGCGUACAGAUUGUUGUUUGUGAAAGUCUGUGAGGCGCAUGUUUGUGAACGUACGGGUAAGGUUAGAGAAAUUGAGACGCAAAAG
rnacentral:lncRNA from 1 species